UUUAGACUAUUCCUAGGUUUUCCAAGAUAACCAAAAAACAGUUUCCACUUUUACUUGUGUUUAAAAGCUUUUCGCUCUAUUUUACCCCUCUAGGGUUUCCCACAAGUUCACCGUCCUACUCAUCUCCUUUCUCUCAGAUCUUAUUUCCCCGCUUUUCCCUUGUUAAAGCUUUCAAUCUCCCACUCCACUUUCACCUAAACCCUAAACCCUAAACCCUAAAACUCCAGACUGGCUAUGCAACCCGUGACUGCUGAAUGCCAAACACAGGACACCGCGGAAUUACUGCGAAACUUCCCACGCACGGACAAAACAAAUGACGAAUUAUUCGCGUGGCCCCCACUUCAAUUACCUAAGCCUCCCGUGCACCAAAACUAUGGGCAAAACUGUAGGCCCCGCCGCAAAAUCAAAACUGCCUCGCUGCUUCCUCCGAAGAAACGACGAAAUUGCGGACCCCGCCAAUUUAACGUCUUGCAGGAUCCUUCCUCCUCCUACAUUUGGCCACUCCUUCCCACUUCGCUUAUAAAAGAAACCAUUCGAUGCAUCAAAGGGACACGACAUGAGACGAAAAAAAAAAGGGAACAUUAGAUAACACACCCACCUGAGAUAGAGAAAGAAGAAGCGCAUUAAGGAAGAUCCAUUCGUCGCCAAGAAAAAAAGAGAAUUACAUAGGAGAGCAUCCUACCUCCACAAAUAUCCUCUUAAUGGCCUUUCUUUUCCUUCCUUUUUUGUAAAUAUUUCCUACCGCAACUAUACCCUGAAAUAAGGAGUCUGUAUAAAAGGAGUCUUUCUUUUUCCCUCGGGCAGUCCCGGAAGGAAAACCUUCUAACUUUGUGAUGUAAGUUUUAUCUUUUGUUAUAUUGUAUUUCUCGAACUCUUGUAUCCAUGGCAUUUUCUUUGCUCCAUGAAACCCUUUUCUUGAACUCUUCAUGAAAUUUCCUGAUAUCUUUAUGAUAAAUAUUUCAUCCUGAGCAAGUGUGAAGCAUAUACGCUUGGCAGAUUUGAUAAAAGAAAUGCUCUGUAAAUUUCGCCAUUGAUAGCCAGAGAGGGCUUUGCGGCGUAGGAGCGGGGUUCUCUAAAAACUGUACGCCAUGAGGGUCUUGUGCACCGACACUAUGUCUCAAGUGAUAUUACCAUAAAAGACAUAUGAUUUCAUCCUAAGUCCAGGUUUAGGUUACCUGCAUCAUAGAUAAAGAGUUUUAGAAAUAUAAAAACAACCGAAAAAAUUUUAUCGUGAUUCCUAGAAGGGAGUACCAAACGGGACUUACACCAAAAAAUUUGGAAAAAUCCAUAUUUCAGUGUGUAGUUGCGGUAGAAAAUAUUUACAGAAAAGGAAGGAAAAGAAAAGCCAUUAAGAGGAUAUUUGUGGAGGUAGGAUGCUCUCCUAUGUAAUUCUCUCUUUUUUUUGGCGACGAAUGGAUCUUCCUUAAUGCGCUUCUUCUUUCUCUAUCUCAGGUGGGUGUGUUAUCUAAUGUUUCUUUUUUUCUUUCAUCUCAUGUCGUGUCCCUUUGAUAUGUCGAAUGGUUUCUUUUAUAGGCGAAGUGGGAAGGAGUGGCCAAAUGCAGGAGGAGGAAGGAUCCUGCAAGACGUUAAAUUGGUGGGGUCCGCAAUUUCGUCGUUUCUUCGGAGGAAGCAGCGAGGCGGUUUUGAUUUUGCGGCGGGGCCUACAGUUUUGCCCAUGGUUUUGGUGCAUGGGAGGCUUAGGUAAUUGAAGUGGGGGCCACGCGAAUAAUCCGUCAUUUGUUUUGUUCGUGCGUGGGAAGCUUUGCAGUAAUUCCGCGGUGUCCUGUGUUUGGCAUUCAGCAGUCACGGGUUACCAUUGUCAGAUGUUUCUUGAAUACCUUAGAUUUUGGAUGGUAGUGGACCUCUUCUGAUGUAGAGAACGCCGGUUUUUGAUGAUGGUGGAGUUGGACAAGAGGGUGUUCAAUCAUGAUGGAGUUGGAUCAGAAGGAAAGGGUCGUUGCCGGAGGUAUAGUAAUCUAUAAAGUCGGCAAAUAUUAUACUUGGAACGACGACUUCUGUGUAGGAAGCAUCUCGGCACCGACUUUAAUAAGUAUCUUAUCUCCAAAAACAGGGAUCAUGUGGCCAAUGAGAGGCCACAAAAACCCCGCGAAUCGAAAACGCGGGAAUCGUCGCCCCCACCCCCUCUCUCUCUCUCCCUCUCUCUCUCUCUCUCAUGGCGACUCUUCUCCUCUCUCCGCCCACCACCACCGCGCUCUUCUCCCCCAAAACCCUAACCCUAGCGACCAGAACCGCCCCCGCCCCUCCAUCUCGAUCCAUUCGGGUCAACGCCGCAGCGAGCUCCGCCGAGCCGGAGAAGGCGGCGGCGGUGUCGCCCGCCCAGGGAGGCGGCGAUGGUGACGCUGCGGCGGCGGAGGCGCCGCCUCCUUCCUCCGGCUCCGCCGUCUUGCGGCCGAAGAAGCCGGUGUACUCUAGUGAGUUCUCUUUCACGCUCUACAAGUGUUUGAUGUAAUGUCGCAGUGGGGAUUACAAUUAUGGUAGAAAUGUAUGGAGCUUCGAACCCCCUUCACUAUAAGCCAUUCCAAAAUAGACCCUCAAUUAUAUAUAUUUUUAUUUUUUUAUUCUUUGGUUCACACCUCUUUAAUUUUGAAUCCUUUUGAUUCAAGUAGUUUACGCCAUUCGAGCCACAAAUAUAUGACUAUUAGCUAUCAGGUGUCGCAGUCGACAUUUUUAUUAGUGAAAAAAAUUAUAAAAUCAUUAAAUAUAACAAAAAUUUUCAACAAAUUCCCCAAUUACCUGAUGUGGAUCAUCUAAUUCAAACCAAUUGAAAGUUGACCUGGAUUUUGAUUUUAUCCGCAAAGUUUAUUUGAAACAAUUUAGUUCCUGAAGUUUGAUUCCAAUCUCGAUUUCAUAUAUAGAGUUUGAAUAUUGUUAAUUUAGUUCGUAAAGCUUGACCCUGAAUUUGAUUUUGUCAUAGAAGUUUUGUUUUUAACAAUAAAGGUGUAAAAUUUUGACCCGGAUAUCAAUUUUAGUUCGGAGUUUCAACUGCGACAAUUUGGUCCAUGAAGUUUGCCCCUGAUCGUGAUUUUGUUCUCGGAGUUUCCAUAUUGACAAUUUAGUCGAUAAAUAUUGAUAACAAUUUCAACUUCAUCCUUGAUUGUUUUUUAAUUUAUUUUAACAAUGCAAAGUGUGACAAAUUCCUAUUAAGGCUUAAGCAAUGUCUACUAUGGGUGUUUAUUAUUUUGCCUUGUGAUUAUUCAGUUACAUGAAAUCAUUUCAAGUUUUAUUACUUUUUUUUCCCUUCCGAAUGGGUAAAAGUAGAAAAAAGUUGCCCCGAAGUGCUUGCGUAAUGCCUUUUAUUUUAUUUAUUGUGGCCUAAACUUUUUAUAGUGUUAAAUUAUAUGAAACAGUUGUUUUUCUUCAAAAGCUUAAGCUAUCAGAGAAUAAUGUGUAUACAUUUCAUAUUCAACACUCUCCCUCACAUCUAGCCUCGAGGCAGAAAACUAAAUAAUGUUAGGAGUCUGAUGGAACUCGACCUCAAGACCUUAUGCGCUAAUACCAUGUUAAAUUAUAUGAAACAACCGUUUUUCUCCAAAAGCUUAAGCUACCGGAGAAUGAUGUUUUAUAUACUUUAUAUUCAACAUCUAGAAAUAAGCAUUUCCAAAAUUUCCUGCUUUCCAGUGAAGAAAGGGCAGAUUGUACGUGUGGACAAAGAGAAGUACCUAAACAGCAUCAAUGUGAGCUUGCUCUCCCUCAAUUUGCGUUUAAAUGAGUGUUGUUUAGGAUUCUUCAUGUUAGCUUUUCUUUGUUCAUGUGAUAUUUUAUAAGAUAUAUUGAGCAUGUUCCUUAGAAUGUAUAUUGUGGUGUAAAUUUUGUGCACAUAUUCUAAAUUUGUCUUCUGUCAUUUCAGUAUCUAUCCGUCGGCCAUCCACCUUUUUAUAAAGGGUUGGACUACAUAUAUGAAGACCGUGGCGAGGUAAUGACAAAUCUUUUGUACUUGAUUGCUUUCACAUACUUUUAAUCGUACAUCAGGUUGAAAUUACAUUACGUAGUACAUAUUUCUCUCUUUUAAGCCAGCUCUUUGCUAUCUUUUCUCUAGAAGAUUAAUUUUCACACCUCUACUUGCUGCUGUUUUUGCUGCUUGCUGAAUUGUUUGUUAUAUACUUCUAGGUUUUGGACAUACGAAUUUUCGAGACUGGGGAAUAUGCUCUUGUAAGUCAAUUCCUCUUAAUGUUUUGAAUUGAUUAUUUAUGUUGUAAUCUUAUACCAGCACUUUGUGUAUUUUGUAAAAAAAAAAAAAAAUUAGGUUUUUGUUGUUCCAGCUCUGGUUAUCAGAAUGUAAGAGUUACAUAAAUAAGCUGCAUAGGGAACAUCUCUUACUACAUUUAUUAGGAGUUAAUUAACUGCCGGAAAAGGUAAAAUGUUGAUAACCUUUUUCACUAAAUUUAUUGAGCAUGGUUCAAUUUUACUUGCAAGCGGAAAAUAAAAUCAGUAUAAUCAGUUUUUAUUUCUAAAAUCAAACCGAAAACGGAAUUCCAAAGUCUUUUCAUGUUAAAAACUGAAUCGAACCAAACUACUCAAUUAAACCCAAUUAACCAAAAUUGUUUUGAGUCUGGCAAUCUGGUAAACCAAAGUAAUAACACAACCCUCCCUGGUGGCAGUGGUGCAACUAAUUAGGUCAACUAGUAAACUUCGCUCCUAAUAGCUGGUUUAACUCUGUUAGGGAAGAGAAUUUAGAUACCUUUUCAUUUCAGAUUUUACCCUUUAUUAACAAAAAAUUAAAUCCUUUUGGUUUUUUAUAUUACAGAUUGCUUGGGUUGGAAUUCCAACUCCCCCCGCAUGGCUUCCAACCGAUAUGCUUAUUAAGGUAAGAUUACCUGACGAGGAAUUUUACGAACAGUUAUUGUAUUAUAUCGAACUUGAGUUGUCUUGCAUGUCAAGUUGACUUACAGAGAUCUAAUCUUUUCCACAGAUUGUGAGAGGUAAGAAACUAUAUCAUAGAAAUAUAAUGAUUGCUACAAAUCAACUCUUCUUCUUUAUACUCCGAGAAGCUGGUUUUACGAAAAUAUUGCUCUAAGUUUUUUCCCAUCCAAUUUCGUGACUACAAAUCUACAAGUUCCAUUAUUUAGGAUCUCUUCCUGUUAAUUUGUGCAUGUUCCUAUGUAAAUAUGCAUUGUCGCCUAUUCUCAUUUGCGAUUUGUAGCUGAAUAACCAUUGCUUGUUAGAGCAGAGAGAAAUUUUUCCAAAAUCCAUAUUACUUGUGCAAACUAUUAUAAGAAGUUAACAAACUUUAAAUCGAAUCUCAAAUUUUUAUUCCCUUAGAGUAAGAACAGGGAGAAACUUAUUUUUCUGUUUUCACGAAUCGCUCGUCUAACUAUUUUUCUUAUCAUUUCGCAGUCGGAAAAGCUUGACUAUGAAAGAAUUUGAUCUUGGAAGUACACUUGCGGGUGAUUCUGCAUUUUUCUGUCUCAUUUUUUCGCUUGGUCGGGGAUGCUCCAGAGUAAAUAUUUCACUUCGAAUCAUAAUGCAAUUUUUGCAUAUAGCUCUAUUUGUUCAUAAAUCAGAUAUAUUCCUUAAAAUAAAAUUUGCUUUGAAUCUGAUCUAAUUCGGUUAGUACCAUCUCUACUCAAUCAAUAUCUUCAUUGUAUCAGUGCUUAAUAUAGAUGUAUAGUUUGAUAUGCUCAUUAUUAUAUUACACAUAUAUAUUGUGUGUCUAGCUUUAAACAAUGUUAAGUCUUAGUUCAUGUUUGACAUAUGUUAUCGACAAAUUGUAAACAAUUAAAAAUGCUCAUGGUUAUGUAAAUGAUUCUUACAAUGCCGAUAAAAUUUCCAUAAAAGCACUAUUAACGUUGUGUCCUAUUAUGUCCCCUUUACUGGUGUUGCACGAAUUUUUGAGGCGAUCCGACGGCUUAAAAAAUCACAAGCACAGAUGCUCUCGCGCUUUUAAAAGCACAGGAGUUCAACUCCCUUUCUCUUUCUAUAUAUAUAUAUAUAUAUAUAUAUAUAUAGUGAGAGAGAGAAUUGGGCUUGAAUACUUUUAAUAGCACCAAGUCAUUGGUGCUUUUAGGUUUUUAGCCUUUGGAUUAAGAUUUCUGGAGUUAGAAUGAUAGUAGUCCUCCUAGGGUUUAGUGGGUGGUUGGUGAAAUAGCAUAAUCUAAGGGUGAAAUUAGUCAAGGGAUAGAUCUAAUGGUGGAAAAUUUGAUUGCACCAAAUGUUUGGUGCUAUUAGAAGUAUCCAAACAAGAGAGAGAGAAGAAAAGUCCAGCCCAGCCGGAGACUAUAUAUAUAUAUAGAGAGAGAGAGAGAGAGUCCAACUUGUGUGCUUUCAGAAGCACGGCGUCCUCUAUGCUAUCGAGUCGUUUUCGAUGCUAGGACAUCUGAAUCAACGAUUGGCUUUAUUAGACUUGAUCUAGAGUAUAAAAAACAUCUGUAAAAUAAUUUCAUUAUUUUCGAUAUCAUUUACUCAAAGGGGCUCAAAAUCAACAAUUUUAUUCGUCGUGAUGAGCCGUUUGCAAGGUGAAUCGGUGUAGAAAUAUCAAAAUCACAUGAAAUUUUGAUAGAAAGUUUUUUAUAAUAUAUAAAACAAAUCAAUAGCUUUGAUCUAAAAAUUGUGUCAUAUAUCACUUCAAAAUUUGAAUGCAUUACUUAUCUUUACAAAUUUAGUUAAUACACUUCACACAAUUUUCGAACUUAUAAAUUAUUAAAGUGAUUAACUUAAAUUUUGAAGUCAAAGGGUCAUUGACUGAUUCAAAUCAAAUAAAUUGAAAUAUUGGAUAGUAAUAUCAAAAUUUUGAAAACAAUUAAGUAAUCAACUCAAAAUGGUUCGUAGCUCAAGUAAGUUCUGUAUAUUUUUAGCUCUUAAUAAUUUAGUUGGUAAAAUUUCCUAGAAAGAAAAAGAAAACCACUUUAUUCUUAGGGGUUACUUUGUUGCAUGUAUGUGCAGCUGUAUUGCAAUUUUAACUACAUGUAAAUUCAAAUAUGAUGUUUUCUUUGGUACACUUCAAUCCAACCGUUGCAGCUGAAACUACAGAAGCAGGCUCAACUAUAGCAGUUGAAACUACGCCUAAAUUGACCGUAGUUUCAACUGUAAUAGUUAGAGAAGGUAAUUUUAAAUAAGACGUAAACUUAUCGUACCCACGACCUUUUAAAUGGGAAAAAAAAACAUUCCUUGUACCUUAGGCAUAGCCUCACUACCUUAUUUACAAGGUGAUAAAAUUUGUGAAUACAAUGUCCAACUACAUACAACCCAACAAAUUGUUUGUAUUUGCAAUAUUUUCUACUAUGUACAACCAAACAAGGUACAUAAAAUAUCUGUAACUACUGCAUUUUUAACUCCAUACUUUUUUCACUGCACUGCAUUAAAAUUACAUACCAACAUAUGACCCCUUAGAGAUUGGCCCUGGUAGCUAUAUCCGACGAGGAAGCUGAUAUUGCAAUUUUUGAUUUAAUUGUCACAAACUUAAACUACAAAAUCUGUCAGAAUUAAAACUCGAGGAUGGAAUUGAAAUCGGCAUCGAAUUUCCAGGUCUUAAUGUGCAAAAACCAUCUCAUAAAAACUUGGUAAAAUUUGGUGUAUUUGCUGAUUAUUACUAGUCAACUAUACAUAUAAGUAAGGACCACAAUGUGUUGUAUCUAUAGCCAUUAUCAUAUACACUAUACAUAUGCACAAAUAGCUCUCACUUCAGAGAGAGAGAGAGAGAGAAAGAGAGAGAGAGAAGUUGAUGAAUCUAUCUCUAGAGGGAGUGAAUAUGCUUGACCUUCUGAAUCGCCUGUUGUACUUUCGAUAACGGCUCAUCAUACAACAUCACAGGAUCAUCGAACUGGGGCCCCAAACUAGGUUCUCCGAGAAAAGCGCGAAAUGUGUCGGCCACGGAGUUAGAGAGGGAUUGGAGGUUGUAUCCGCCUUCGAGGAAGAAAACACACCGACCCGCGCACAGCUCCUUCGCGAGCUCUUUGAUCUUCGAAGCGAGCAUGUAGUACGUUCCCGUUGUGAAUUGGAGACCGGCUAGCGGGUCUAGCACAUGAGCAUCAUAUCUGAAGAGAGAGAGAGAGAGAGAGAGAGAGAGAGAGAGAUAGAACUAACUAGCUAAGAUAAGGGUAUUACAGAAAGAAAGUGCAGCAGUAAGCUGUACUUAAGAAAUGCAGAUGUACAGGGGUAUAUAUUUGUAAAUUGACGAUUUUGCAAGGUUGGAUCUGUAAAAGAUCCGGUAUAUAUGUAAAUUGAUGAUUUUGCAAGGUUGUAUCUGUAAAAGCUCCUAACAGAGAAAAUGCAUUAAAUUUGACAUCAAUAUAUGCUAAGAACAGCAGAAAUUGCAAAACUGAUACAUUAGCAUGAAAUCAACAGCAUGAAUUAACUUUCAAGGGGAAGUUCCAACUCACCCCGCUGAAACGAGAAUAAUGUCAGGCUUGAACCUCUGCGCGCACGGCACAAUAACCUCAUCAAACACGGUUCGCAUAGAACUAUCGCCUGAGCCUCCGGGUAAGGGCAGGUUGAGUGUCGUUCCUUCGCCUUUCCCUUGGCCGACUUGUUCCAUCUUUCCUGUGCCAGGGUAGCUCCCAUGCUGCAUCAGUUCCCAGAAAAAAAAAAAAAAAAAAAAAAAAAACAACAACAACAACAACAACAACAACAACAACAAUUGGUCAUUCAUGUAGAAGCUCAAAAUUCGUAUAUAUUCCGAUAAUGUUAAUUUUCGGAAAGCUCGUAAGUACAUUUCGAAAGUUCGAAAAACAUGAAAAUCGCAAGCAUUUAAAGUUUGGAGGUCUAGUAUGAAUUUACCGGUCGUCACGGUGGUACGUAAAUUGCUUCAAUUAAAAGGAGGAUUUUACAUACAUGUAUCUCAGUAAAUGCAUCUACUUAUGUGGUAUUCUGCAAAAUAUGAAUUUUAAUAUGUAAUCCUAGACAUUGCAGCUUUGUUCAUCAAAACCCUUCUCCAAAUUUGGGAGUCAUUCAAUUUAUAUAAGGAAAAUUAACAAAAGAAGUUUUUGAAAGAGGGGUUUUCCGCAAUAAAGUUUGCUUUUUGAAGAGCACGAACGAAAAAAGAAAAAGUAAAAAAUGUAUAAAACUUACCUGAACUUUAGUCCGUUUUUUAUUCAACUGCCCAACCUUUCAAACUUUUGAUUUUAGUACCCGGCCUUUCAAUUUGUUUAAUUUAAGUGAUUUGAUAGCUCUUGGGAUAUAAAAUUUAAACUAAUUGCUUACUUGAAUGAAUUUAUAGUUAAAUGAAUUGCACAAAAUAUGCUAACUAAAGCCAUAAAGAUAAACGGCAUAUUCGAAUUUUGAAAUUAAAAAGUAACUAAUUGGCUCAAAUCAAAUAAAUUAAAAGGUUGGAUAGUAAAAUCGAAUUUUUUAAAGAUUAGAUAGUCAGAUCAAAAUGGGUGAUAGUUGAGGUAAGUUUUUAUACAUUUUUACCCACCCCACUCCCCCAAACAAACAAUCAAAAAAAGGUACAGAGGCCCCUUCUACUGGAGGACAUUUUGAAAUAGAUUCUCUAGCUUUAAAUAAUCUGAUUGGCAUGCCUCAAAUUUUUUUUUUUUUUUUAUUGUGUCGAUUUGAGUUAUCAAUGUUAGUUGAUUUGGGAUUCCGUUUGAAUAGACACUUCUGCGAGUUAUCACUUAUCAGCUAUUAAUAAGCUCUGAAACCUAAUAGAAUCCCUGAUUCAAAUGAUAAAAAAACUUGAUCAAAACAAGUUUUUAGGAGAGAAUCAACCGAAAAAAAAAAAUUGAGGGGGUCUCCACACAGGGCCAGCAGGGGGGGCAUUUGUGUAAAUUGAGAAUUUCUCAAACAAACAAAGAAAGCAGCAAUCAACUGACCUGAUGAGUCGAGAUGAAGAAUAUAUCCGGAUCAUCGUAAAAUGCAUCGCACGUUCCGUUACCAUGAUGAACAUCAAAAUCGAUAAUGAGGACCCGCUUAAGUUUAUGCACAUAUUGUGCAUAACGAGCGGCAAUCGCGAUGUUUCCGAAGAUGCAGAAGCCCAUCGGACCUUGAGGGACGGCGUGGUGCCCUGGCGGCCUUAUUAAGGCAAAUCCUGUUGCUGGGUCACUGCUGAGCCUUGAUGCUGCAGCCUAGGAUAAAAAUACAACAUUUUCUUGGUAAAGAACCACUGCAAAGAAAAGUUUGUACUAAAUCAUAACAUAACAAAUUUGUCAAUUCCUUACUACCAUUAUUUACCAAAGAGGAAAAAAAAAAAAAAAAAAAGCAGGUUGGAGAUUUGAUAUGAGUUCACAAGUGCUGAAACUUGCUUGUUUGAAAAUUAUGAUUUAUUUAUAAAUAAAUAGGUGAAAACCUUCACAGACCUCACAUCAACUAUAGUGUGCUUUUAAAUCGGUACCUGAACUUUAAUAAUUAGAUUUUGCUACCUAAUGCCACAUAAUGUUUGAUUUUAGAAAUUUUCUUCUUUUUUUUUUUUUGUUUAGAAGUUAAAGAGUUUCUUCAGAAAAGUUGUAGACUAUCCCCUCCGGUAACAGAAUAUUCCGUUUUUAGACAUUGAAACACUGCUGCACUUUGAUAAUGAGGUAAUUAAAUCGGAAAGACUCAAAGUUUAGACAGUGAAAUCAAAACUUUUGUUGUUCCCGUAGCUGUUUCAAAUUGCGCUGUAAUUCAGGUAAGGUCAGUAUAUUUUUACCUCACAAGUAUAAUGAGUCUGAGUCAACAAAAAAGAAAAAAAAUCUUACUUACCACAGAAUCGACCAAGGAAAGUCCAGCGCCAGCUGCAGCAAGUGAUUCUUGAAAGGUCUGUGAAGUACGGCAAUACGUUAACAGUUAAAGGUGCAGAUUGAUAACAUACCUGAUUUAACACAUUUCAGUUUUUCUGAUUACACAUAUGUCGCCGUAUUAAGAAUUUAAACAAAUAUGAGGGAAGACAUCAGACAGCAUUCCUUCAUUAUGGAUUUGCAGAUUGCUACCCUGUCGUUGAAAGUGUAGCAUAUUGCUACUGUGUGGUUUUUCCUGUUUCCCAUAAAGGGGUGUUUGGUUCCUCGGAAAAGCGUGGAAGACUAUCUUUUGGGCACCGUUUUUCCACAUUUUUCGUUUUCCAUAUGAGAAAUUUGGAAAACGAAAACACUACUUUUCCAUGAAAUAUGGAAAAAGAAAAAUUUCAGGAAAACUACUUUUCCUAGGAACCAAACAGACAGAAAAUACUUUUCCAAGCAAAAAACUAUUUUUUGGGAUAUUUUCCGGAAAACCAGACACUCCUUGAGUAUCGGCCAUUCCAGUUCAGGUUGCCCUUGGCGAGUAACCAAUUAUUGUUUAGUAUCAGAAUGUGUGCUCUUAUACGCAAAGCAAACCUACUUGCUGUUACCAAAUGUAAUUUAGCAUAUUAUUACAGAACCCCAAAACAAUAAUAGUUAAAGAAAAAGAAGUGUACAAAUAUAAGUUGUAAGAUCUAGAAUAUACGGUUUCAGUAGCAUAUGUUGGCCCAGAUCCUUCGAUGAAAAUGAGGCCUUCAUCUGACGCCAUGGACAUAGCCUACGGGAAAAGAGAAAAAUGAAAACAUUUUCUCAAUUGUAGGAUUGAAAAACUACUAUGAAAUUUUAAUGAAAUAAGAUACCUUCUCAAGGCCCGUUACAUAAGCUCUUGAAUGAACACGAGCAAUGUCGUCGAUUGAAGCUGGCUGGAAACUUUGAACUUCAAGCACCUCUAAGCCACGAUACUGAAACACAGGAUGCCAUACUUAUAAAAUUAUUUUAAAAAAAUAUUAAACACACCACAAAUUUUAGCUAACAAGAGAUCUAACAUUCAUGAAGUCCACGCUGUCAUAUAGCAAAAAAAGUAAGAACCAACAUGGAAGGUAGAGAAUCAAUAGACUUCUUGACAAACAGAAGAUCAAUUAUUCCUUGAUUAUUUCGAUGUGCUGACGAUUACUAUAUUGAAGACUCUAGGAGUAAUGACAUAUUUCCCAAGGAGCGGUAUGCCAUAAAUUCAAACCAAAGACUAAGCGCCUAUUUGGCCUCCUUCGGGAAUAGCUUCUCUAGAAACUCAAGUGUUUGCUAUGGUAAGAAGUCAAAUGAGCUUUUGGAGACCAAAAGCAGAAGCUCCAAUUUGAAGCUUAUGACCGGCAGCAGCUGGGAAAAGGCAGUUAGUUCUUGCAAGCACCGGUUUGAGACAAUUUGUUUUACGCAGAAUAUUCACAGCAUAAAAGUUGAGAAACAGAAUAUUGUAUUAGCAUAUCUUGCAGUAAAGAAGAAAGGAAGAUAGAAUUGGCAAAAUGGUAAGUUCACCUUUGGGGUAAGCUCCAAUCUUUCAAGAGCAUCAACAAUUGCUGGCACCCUUUUAUUUGAUUCAGGGUGAGAGUCCUAGACAUUCAAAUCAAACCAGAAGUAUGAAAAAGGAAAAAGAAGAAUAUGCUAAUUUAGAAAGGAACAGAAGAACAUCUAAUAUCAUCAGCUUUAAAGAUACACACUUCUCUUAUCCAAACCUAGUAUUUAAACACUAUAAAGACCUUCUGUCGAUUCAAACUAUUAAAACUAUUUUUUGUGAUAGCAUACAACACGAUAUCAACAUGUAUUCUCAUACCAUCCGUUCACACUAGCAUGCAUAAACAAACAGUUAUAAUUUUCGUCUUUGUUUCUUAGAAAAAAAUCAUGAAUAGUUCACAAAGUUUUGGUUGGACAAAUAACUUUGAAUUAUUAAAAAGCAAAAAGAAAAUCAAUCUAAAAGUAAUUGAUAUUUCCAACUAUUCGAGAUAUUUUUGAUUUAAUUAUAGCCAAAAUGAAAUUUUUAUUGUGAAUUUAACUUUUCUACACUCUGGGAAUGAAAGAAGAUAUCAUAAAACUUACGAAAAUUUAUGCUAAUGGACUUUUACCAUUAUAUAUUGGUGUUUAUUCAGCUAAACCUUUUUCAAAUUUAUUCUAAACUUAUCAAAAUUUUUCUGAGGUAUGAAAUUUUCAGCUUUUACCAGAAGGCCAAACUUGUCAUUGUGACGGGAAAUACCUUAUUAUGGCCCAUGGCUGGAGCUACAGAAUAGAGGACUCGUGCAUCACGAAGUAAAACAUCCGAUGGAAUUGAAUAUGGCUUCUUUUCACCGUCAAUAAAAGCAACAUCAUCUUUUGCAGAGCAUCUUACACAUGACCUCAAACUUCUAUAGAAUCUUCUCGCAACACUUGCCAAAUUCUUUUCUGAAUGUAAUCGACAGCAGCCCUCCAAUAAAUAGCAAUGUCGUCUAAUCAGCGGAAACAUUUGCCCUAGAUGACAGGAAUUUCAUAACUUUCAGGAAAGAAAAGCUAACAAUUCAAAUUUAAAACUACAAAUUUUCAGCAGAAGAAGCUGUAGUGAUGCCAAAGGCCUAAAAUUGUUCUUGACUCGCAAAUUAUGCAGAAGCCAACAAAGUGCUUUUGCAAAAGUACAAUACUAUCAAUCAUGAGUUAAUAACGAGACCUCUACAUUGAACUAACAUGAGUUUUCUCGCAAACAAAUGGCAUGCAUGCACUUAGCACACAUUAACUACACUACAAUUGAGAAGCAAGAAAUUUUUUUUAAAAAAAAAUCGAAUUACUAUCACUUUACAUUCUCCAAAAAGAAACACUAGUGAUGCUAAUAAUCAAUCUCAAGCUAUCCAAGUGAGAACCAAGUGAUUCUGCAUGAGUAUAAUAGUAUCAUUUAUUAGUAAAAAUGAGAACUUUGCAGAAGAAAACAUUACUACAUUCUAAAAGAAAGAAACCCAACAAUUAAAGUUCAAAUACUUCAAAAUUUCACGAAAAGGAGCACUAUUAAUUCUAUGCAAAAUAUAACAAAGGGUUUCUGCAUAGGUAUAAAAUUGUCAAUCAUAAGGGCAUUUUCACAAACAUAUGGCAUGCAAGGUAGUUAGUAUAACUUUACUAAAAUCUAAAAGAGAGAAAAAAAGGAAAAAAAAAGAAGAAGAAAAGAACCCACAACUUGAAAUUUAAAGUUAUAUUAACUUUUCAUAAAAGAGAAACACAAGUCAUGCUAAAAAUCAUUCUCAACUAAUGCAGAGCAGAACAAAAAGCUUCUGCAUAAUAACAUUAUCUUCAGUCACAAGUCAAUAAUGAGACCACUAUGUUCAAGUAAUGGCCUGUCUGUUUGUCAGUAAGUAAUUUUCAGGUUGAAAAUGAUUUCUAGCAGAACUGAAGUUUAGGUAAAAAAAUAUAUAUAAAAAAAUUCCGCCGCUAUUUGUUCAAUAGGGACCCAAUGGCUUUGAAACUGUAAUUAUAUCACUUUUUAUUUAUUUUUACGCAAAUUCUCACACUAUCAUGUAAGAGGAUGAGAAAAGUUGCAACAUGUAAAUUUUUAUUUUUAUCUCUCUUUCCGAUAAUUGACUUCGGCACCACACAAGGGCCCGAAAACUACUUCACUUCCCUCCACCUUCGGUGAAACAAACAUGCCCUAACUACACAUGGGCAUUUCCACAAACACAUGGUGUGCAAGGUACUUCAACAAAACAUAACUAUAAUUCAAUAUACAACAAAGAGAAAACAACAAUUCAAAUUAAAAAUUUCAUCAAAGUUUCAUAAAACAAGUGCUCUCAACUUUAAAAGUUGGGACUUUUUCCUCUUCAAAUUUCUAACUCCCAAAUGCGAAUUAAAUAAAAAAAAAUUGAAGAAAAAUACAUAAAACUAAUCCUUUAACAUGCAUCACUAAACUACAAUAUAUAACAAAGGGAACCCAAUAAUUGAAAUUUAAAAUCACAUUAAAUUUUUCAUAAAAACAAACACUAGCAAUGCCAUGAAUCAUUCUCAAAUCACGCAAAAUACAACAAACAAAGUGCUCCCAAAUUUAAAAAUUGGGUCUUUUUUGCUCUUCUAAUUUGUUAACUCCCAAAUCCGAACUUAAAUUCAAAAAAAAAUUGCAGGAAAACAGAAAAGAUAAAUCCAAUCCUUAACAUGUACCAGUGAGGGUUGGAUAAUGGAGCGUGGUGAGCUCCAUGAUCGGGGAGAGUUUUUUUUUUUUUUUUUUUGGUUUUUUUCAUAAUUUUCCCACCACAUAGUAAUAAUAAUAUAAGAUAAAAAAUAUAUAUCUAUUUUAAGAUGAGAAAAAGGUAAAAGUGCAGGAUGCCCCCUCAUCUAUAGCUCGUUUUGAAACAACUCCCUGAACUUGUUUUCUUUUUUUUCCUUUUCUGAUUGGAAAGAAAUUAAAAGGUUUAUCAAAUUUUGUGAUAUAUAUUAGUAAUUUAUUAAAUUUAAUAAUAAUAAAUUAUUUUUAGUUAAUAAAAUUGAACUAAUUAGCAGUUGAUAACUUUAAAUUAGAUUUGAUAAAAUUUUUAACUUAAUUACGUAUAAAAAUUGAAAUAAAAUCUUAUAAACUGAGUCUCAAAAAAAAAAAGAUAAACUUCAAAUAUUACCCCAGUGGUUUCGCACUUUCUCACUUUAGUACCCUGUGAUUUAAAGUGUAUCAAGUUAGUGUCCUGACGUUUUAUUUUUAUCUUUUCGUCAACUUUUCCGUUAAUAUUUCGUUAAAUUAUAUACAAAAAAUUUCAGAUACCCCACCUAAAUUUAUCGAAUAUUCACUUUAAUACCUUUUGGUUUUAACUUUAUCACUGAUUUAACGGAAAAAAUUAGUGAAAGCGAUAAUAAAAAAUAAAAAUGAAACACAUGGCACUAAAUUGAUACACUUUAAAUCAUAGGGUAUUAAAAUGAAAAAGUAUGAAGCCACAGGAGUGGUAUUUGAAGUUUUCCAAAAAAAAAUAAAAACUUAUCCGUCUUUAUUAUUGGUUUUGGACCCAAAAUAAAACUUGUCCCAAAGUUUAGUCACAAAAUAGUUUUGGGCCUAUUUGGACUUUUCCUAAUCUAACCCAAGCUUGGCACAAAAUUAAAAGCCCUUUCAAAUUUUUCCUUCUUUAAUAUUAUAAAUAAAAUAUAACAAGAGUUAAUUUAAAAUGCUUUUAAAAAUAAAUCAGGUUAUUUAAUUACGCGUCAUCUCACAAUUAAGCAGCUAAAUAGACCAUCAGUUUUAUUAAAUUUGAUUUAGAACCUUUAAACCGUCUGAAAAUCAAAUUUCGCUAUAUUAUGAUAUUAUUUAUCUACUGAUCGAGUGAUUUCAAAUUUAUUUUCUCUUUAUCAUUAAAAAUUAUUAAUUUCAAGAUUACUUGAAUACUAAACUAAUGAUUUCGCAAAAUUACAAAGUUCGGAACCCAAAAUGUUCAAAUAGCUUAGAUCAAAUUUAAUGAUGCUGAUCAUUAAUUCAAUAUUUCACUGUGAGAAAUUAUGUUUAUCGUAUACAAUUUUUUUUUUUUUUACUUUAAACUCUCAUAUCCUUUUAACAAUAAGUUAUUAUAGAUAACAAAAAUAAAAAUAAAAAGUUACAUAAAUUAGAAUUUAUAUUUAUUUAUUUUAAAUACAUGAAUUGGAACCAUACAAGGCUCCCCGGGUUUGGGGGCCCCUAUGGGACCCACUACAUUUUUUGUUUCUCUCUCUCUCACAAUAUUUAUUUAUUUAUUUAUUUAUAAUUUAAUUAUUUAUUUAAUUUUUAUUUAUUUAUUUAUACACUAAUUUGGAACUCAGAAAACACCUAUCCUUAUUUUGGAGGGUUGUGGGCCCACAUUAAUUUUUUGAAGGAUUAAUUGCACAUUAGGUCUAAUCUUUUCACUUUUUUUUAUUUGGUCCCUAAUCCCUAAACUUUGCAUAUUUUUUGUUUUAGUUCACAAAUAAUUUUUUAAGGAUUAAUGUAUAUAAUAAUAAUAUAAUAUUUGGUAGUUGAAUCUUUUACGGUGUAAAAAAUAUCUAUUUUGAUUUCGCAUGUCUUUUGAUUAGUCUUAUUUUUUAUGCUUCUGAUAAUUAUCUACUGAUUUCUUCGCUAAUUUACAUUUCGAAAUCGAACACUUUAUUAGUUGUAUGUGUAACGAUAAAAGUUAAUGAGGGCACAAUAAAGACGUUGCGGCUAAGAAUACCAAAGAUAGUAUUUUUACUCUACUUAGUUUUUUUAUUUUUUUUUUGUAAAUUCUAUCUUGAUGAUAAUAGAAAAAUAUUAUUUAUCUUUCUUAAAUACUUGUAAUACCGCUGGUUGUUUUAUUUUAAAACUAUUUUAUUCAUUUACGUAUUACUCCAAUUAUUAAUUUCUCCUGUAUACGAAACUAGCUGAGCCGUAACAAAGCCAAGCUACAACCAUAUAGAUAAUGAGCUACUAAUGAAAACAUAUAUAUAUAAUAUAUAAUAUAUAUAUAUAUAUAUAUAAUAUAUAUAUAUAUAUAAUAUAUAGAGCCUCCGUGCUCUGACGCGUUUCGAGAGGAAUUUUCGAAUCGACGAUCGCUCCGUUAGUCUUGAUCUAGCGCAUUUGAAGUUUCUAGAAAAUAAAAUUUUGUAAUUUUUUGAUACCAUUUACUUGUGAUCGAAAGGAUUCAAAAUCCAUAAUAUUCAAUGGUUGAUAUCUGCCGUUUCAAAUUUAAGCGGGUAGAAGUAUUCAAAUUCAGAUGAAACUUUGAUACAAAAUUCUUUAUACUAUCUACAACAAAUCAAUAUUUGUGAUCGAAAAUUUUAGUGCUAUAUCACCGACUUUUUAUAGAUUUUUUAUCUUAGCCGUUAAAAUUAUUAAUUUUGAAUCCUUUCGAUUGCUAGGUAAAUGAUAUCUAAAAACUGCAAAAAUUAUUAUCUAAAAACUUCAAAUAAGCUAGAUCAAGUUUAACGAGCUAAUCGUUCAAUUCGAAGAACUUCUCUCAAAAACGGUCUCAGAGCACGAGGCCUCCUGCUCCUGAGAGCAGCAGCAUCUGCUAUAAUUAUAGUAAUAUAUAUAUAAUAUAUAUAUAUAUAUAUAUAUAAAAUAAAGUACAAUUCAAAUUUAUAAAGUUCAUCUGUUUGACAAAAAUGAAGGCAUAGCUUAGCUGCAUUAAUUAAUUAGUCCAUUAGUUAACUAGGUGAUAAUGAGAGCUUAUGUAAUUGUGAAUGCACGUAGAGUUUUUUUUUUUAAGAGAUAGAUAGCACGCUACCCGCUUCGUUUAUUUCAUUUAAAAAUAAACUUAGCUAGAAAUAUAAAUCAACUAAAAUUUAAACUUGGGUCUCAGGUACCAACUAUCAAGUCCUUUACCACUUGCUCUAGAAACGGUUGGUGUGAAUGCAAAUAGAGUUAAAAAUGAAGGAGUAAUAUGAAAAACAAGUUGGGUUGUAAGUUUGAGAUAUUUCUUGUUUCCUCUUCAGUUGAAGAGCCCUAAACCCUAAACCCUAAACCCUAAACCCGAAGGACAAAUCAUCAGCCGCUGUUCGAAAUAAAGUUUUAGCAAACUAUUGAUAUGCGAGAACAAUACAAUCAUGAGAAAUUUUUUAUUAUUAUUUUUUGGAAAAACUUCAAAUACCCCCUUGUGGUUUUAUUUUUUCUGACUUCAAUAUCCUGUGGUUUAAACUGUAUCAAGUUAGUACUUGUAGUUUUGCACUUUUUCACUUUAGUAUCAUGUGGUUUAAAGUGUAUCAAGUUAGUACCAUGUGGUUUCGUAUUUCCUCAUUUUAGUAUCCUAUGGUUUCGCACUUUCUCACUUUAGUAUCCUGUGAUUUAAAAAUCAAAUGGUACUGACUUCGAUACAAAAAUAAAACCACAAAAUACUAACUUGAUACAUUUUAAAUCACAUGGUACUAAAGUGAGAAAGUGCGAAACCUAACUUGAUACACUUUGAACCACAGAAUACUAAAAUGAAAAAGUACGAAACCACAUAAGGGGUUUUUGAAGUUUUUUCUUAUUUUUUUAAAACAACACGAAAGUAUCCGUUUGAAUUACUGGAGAUCACUAGUAUAUGAUAUGAGAUGCAAAACAAUAGUCCAAAGCUCAGAACAGUAAAAGAGCCUUUGAAACAGAGACAAGAAGUGCAGAGCUCUGAACUUGGGAACUAAUAAUACAUUUUUCUGCAUUCAGCCAGCACAAAAGUUCGAUAGGAGUUAGGAGAUUACUCAAUUCAAGCUGUGAGACUUGCCUCUUCUCUAUUGCCAACAGAAGAAAAACAGUAUUCCUCAUCAUAAGGCCCACCGAAUCCAGCAGCUGCAGGACCAUCAAUGUCAUUAGCAUCUCCUAACCUCCCUAGUUCAAAUUCCUCCAACUCAUUACCAAAGAAAUGCAUGUUCAGAUUUCCAUUCAAUCAUAUUCAAAUCUAGAUUUACUAUAGAUAAAGGUCAAUCCUAAUAGAUAUAGAACUACUUGAUAUGGUAUAUUUUAUUUAUAUUUCAUCUAUUUUAAAUUUAAAUAGAAUCCUAAUCAGACUUUGAUGGGAAGUCGAUUUGAACUCUAUAUAAAAUGGUAUUGGUCUUGCCAACUUCUCAUACGCAUUCUGGUGAAGAAUUACCAUCGGUUCCACAGGUAGAGUGCCUGAAAUAGGAGGAGAAAUCAAAUUACUCAAGUUCGGUUCGUGACUUCCAGAUCAUAGCCGAACUUCUCGUUUUCGCAGAUUGAUCAAGAAUUUCUUUUCUGUGGCGCUCUGUGAGUCAUUUUAUUUUAUUUGAUCCUGGACUUUGGUAUGUAUUUAAUUUGCUAUUUAUUUUACAUACCUUGAAAAUCUAUCAAAUACAUACUGUGAAGCAUCAAAACGGGUGUUCUCUGCGAAAAAAGAAUAACAAAAAAAAGUUUAAACACAUAAUCUACGGACUAGAAUAAACAGAAAACAUUAACGCGCAUAGAUCAGCCAACGAGCAUGCACAUUCAUCUGGUACAUGCAUACUCAAUAUACCAAAAAAUAGAAAGGUAAAACAGCACCCGUCAGCUUAGCAAUUAGGCAUGCUGAAGGGACAAGUAAAGGCUUGUCUUAUUGAUGCGCAACUUGGAUUCACUAUUUCAGUACUACGAAAAAAAUAGGGAAAACUUCAAAAACCCCUCCUGUAAUUUCACAAUUUUUUAUUUUAGUGCCCUAUGAUUUAAAGUGUAUCAAAUUAGUAUCCUAUGGUUUCUCACUUUAUCACUUUAGUACCUUGUGGUUUAAAAUGUAUCAAAUUAGUACCUGUGGUUUUGCACUUUAUCACUUUAGUACUCUAUGAUUUCACACUUUAUCACUUUAGUACUCUAUGGUUUAAAAAAUCACAGGGUACUAACUUGAUACAAAAUUAAAACCACAGGGUACUAAAGUGAUAAAGUGCAAAACCACAGGGUACUAACUUGAUACGCUUUAAACCACAGAGUACUAAAGUGAUAAAGUGAGAAACCACAGGGUACCAACUUGAUACAUUUUAAACCACAGGGUACUAAAUUGAAAAAAAUUGAAACCACAAGGGGGGUUUUGAAGUUUUUCCAAAAAAAUAAUGAAGUGACAAGAAACAGCUAGCCCUACAAAAACUAAGAUCAAAAGACACACUAAUUGAAUGAGAUGAAGAGUUAUCUAGCAAACUUUAUUUAAAUUCUUCUUUAGACUAAGACAGAGUAAAUUAUGAUAACAUUAGAACUACAACAAACAUAGAAUGGUAGGGCCCUAAGUUCAAAAUCAAUCACGCAAAUAAUUUCUCUUUUUAACCAAGCGCACAGAGAUGGAUGACAACUACUGAUACCAAUUUGCCAUAAUUUAAGCUCGCCGAAUUCUAGCUAAAUAGUUAGAAGUUUCAGCCCUGAACAACUUCGAAAAAUGUCAAAAUGAAUAUAUCAUCAGAAAUGUCAUUCCAACACGAUUACACACCAAUUAACACUCAGCAAAGAUAUCCUCCUUCACAUAAAACUCUACUAACAAUACAACAAUCUCUGAUUAACAGCUAUAUAUAUGAAUCCAACAUCAAGUAUUUUAACACAUGUUCUUUUAACAACACAAAGAAAACAACUAAUCUUCCUUUAACAACAAAAAAGAAAAAAAAUAGCUGAUAUGUCCAAAUUUAAAUAUUACAUAAAGAGAAUAAUCUAGAUAAGUCAAAAAUUAGUAACAGAAUAAUCUAGAUAAGAUGCUUCAGAUCAAUUCCUGCUAUUCCCACUUACAUAUCCUUCUUUGUCCUAAUAUUUUCAUGCCCCUUUAGUAAUAUCAUGUUCAAGCCGAUCAAAGUCGACCUCAGCUCUUCGUAUGGGUGGGUUCACAAAAUGAAGGCAUCUAUACAACAUGUUUACGUGCUUCUAUAUACCAAUAAAAUGUAUAUAAUAUAAGUUAAUACAACAUUUUAUUUACUAAUUUUUUUUUUUCAUAAAGUUACUCCUAUAAAAGAUCAACUACUCGGCGAUAAAAUUUUUAUUACAACAAAAUAAAAAGAACUAUUAUUUUUGAAUAAUUAUUUUAAUAUAUAUUGACUACUAUAUUAUUUUAAAGAAAUAUAUUUCAUUGUAUGGUUUGCACUGUCUAAAUUUUCAUGUUUAAUUAGCUUAUUUUAUAAGACAAAAAAUGCUAAUUAAGUUUGUAUAAAUUUUACAUCUCAUUGUUACAGCCGUUAAUCAAUCAUUAUUAGUGUAUGCGAAUGCACACGCGCACGUGAGCACAAACUCACAUAAAGUGAUGAGACUAACAUUAAAAAAUUUAACGUAAAAUCUUAAAAUUACAAGAUUUAAUUUCUACUUGUAAAUAAAUAAGUAGCAUUACUCUACUUUUUGAUAAUAAACUGUGAACUAAUGUAUGAACUUCCACAAAAAUAUCUAUUAAUUUAACAAAUUUCUACUUAAAUUAAUCGAAAUGAUUGUAGAAAUUAAAGUUUGGAAAGUGUUUUUGGAAAAAAAAAAAAAAAGGAAAAAAUAAGGGUGCCAUUUUCAAAAUAUGCUAUAGUUGAAGUAUUUUUUAAAAAUUUUUAAAACUUUUAUAAUUUAAAAUUUUACAUACGAAAUAGAAAAUUACUUUAUUAAAAGUAACUUGAUUUUUAAAUUAAUUUAGCUAAAAUUUUUAAUUAUUUUAGGAACAUGAUGGACUUUAGCGACAUCAACUGCCAUUGAAGCCUUAGUCAAGAUAAAGACCGGCUACUUUAAUUGAUUUAUCACCACAAUAUAUUAUUCACGGCCUUAACAAGGGAUAUUAUGGUUGGUCUGACCACGGCGGUUGAAAAAUUGUGAAAAAAAGUAGUGUAGUAAUGAAGAAAGCUUAACCCUGUGUAGAUUGUAGAUGUUUAAGAAUAAUUAGAAACUUUGAUAAAAAAAAUAAAUUAUUGUAUGUCUCGACAGUUAGUACAUUUAGACGAAAACAUAUAAUUCAGUUAUAUUACCAUUAAUAUUCAGAGAUUUGAAAAUGUCCCCUCUGGUGAUGAACAUGCGCUUUUGAAAGCGGUUGCUCACCAACUUGUUGUAUGCGGAAUCCAAACUAACGACUUUUUCAAAAACUACGACGGUGGAAUUAUAAAAAGAAGCAACAUGUCAGAGAGGAUUAUCACACUCAAUCAUUCUAUCCUAAUUGUUGGAUAUGGAGAAAAGAACGGGUUAAAGUAUUGGAUAGUGAAAAAUUUUUGGAAAAAAAAGUGGGGCGAGGAAGAGUAUGUAAUAAUUGAACGAAGAGUAGGAAUAGCAGGAAUUGAUCUGUAAGCAUCUUAUCCUGUAUAAUUGUUUACAUUCAAUCGUGCAACCUUUUGAGGAGUCAUACUUCUGUUCACUUGGAUAUUAGGUAACCAAUUUUAAAUUAUUAUCUAGAUUAUUCUUUUUUUAUCAUUUUAACGAGUAGAGGAAUUGAUCUGGAAGUAUAUUAUUCUGUAUAAUUAUUUACAUCUAAUCGUGCAGCCUUUUGUUUAAAUUUGGACAUAUUAACUAUUUUUUUCUUUUUUGUUGUUAAAGGAAGAUGAUUAGUUGUUAUUUUUUUUGUUGUUAAAAGAACAUGUGUUAAAAUACUUGAUGUGAGAUUGUUAACAGCUAUAUAUAUGAAUCCGGCAUCAAGUAUUUUAACACAUGUUUUUUUAACAACAAAAAGAAAAGAACUAAUCAUUUUCUUUAACAGUAAAAAAAAGCGAAUAUUUCCAAAUUUAAAAAUGAUAAAAAAAGAAUAAUCUAGGUAAUAAUCUAAAAUUGGUUACCUAAUAUCCAAGUGAACAGAAGUAUGACUCCUCAAAAGGUUGCACGAUUGAAUGUAAACAAUUAUACAGGAUAAGAUGCUUACAGAUCAAUUCCUGCCAUUCCUACUCUUCGUUCCAUUAUUACAUACUCUUCCUCGCCCCACUUUUUUUUCCAAAAAUUUUUCACUAUCCAAUACUUUAACCCGUUCUUUUCUCCAUAUCCAACAAUUAGGAUAGAAUGAUUGAGUGUGAUAAUCCUCUCUGGCAUGUUGCUUCUUUUUAUAAUUCCACCGUCGUAGUUUUUGAAAAAAUCGUUAGUUUGGAUUCCGCAUACAACAAGUUGGUGAGCAACCGCUUUCAAAAGCGCAUGUUCAUCACCAGAGGGGACAUUUUCAAAUCUCCGAAUAUUAAUGGUAAUAUAACUAAAUCCUAUAUUUUAGUUUAGACGUACUAAUUGUCGAGAGAUAUAAUAAUUUAUUUUUUUAUCAAAAUUUCUAAAUAUUUUUAAACAUCUACAACCUGCAUAAGAAUAAGCUCUCUCAGUUACUACACUACGCUUUUUCACAAUUUCCCAACCUACGUGUUCAAACCAGCCGCAGCAUCCCUUAUUGAGGCCGUUAAUAAUAUAUUGCAGCAAUAGAUCGAUCAAGUGGCCAAUCUUUAUUUUGAUCAAACCUUCAAUGGCGACUGAUGCAGCUAAACCCAAAAUAUUACUAAGAUAAUUUAAAAUUUUAGCUAAAAUAAUUUAAAAAUUAAGUUACUUUUAAUAAAAUAAUUUUAUAUUUCGUAAGUAUAAUUUUAAAUUAUAAAAAUUGUAAAAAUUUUACAAAAAAUGCGUCAACUAUAGCUCAUUUUGAAAAGGACACGCUUACUUUUCCUCUUCAUUUUCAAAAAUACUUUUCUAACUUUAAUUUCUACAAUCAUUUCGAUCAAUUUAGUUACAAAUUUGUUAAAUUAAUUGAUCUUUUUAUAAAAGUUCAUACUUUAGAUUAUAGUUUACCAUCAAAAAGUAGAGUAACGCUACUCCUUUAUUCAAAAGUAAAAAUAAAUUUUAUAAUUUUAAGAUUUACGUCAAAUUUUUUAAUACUUGUCUCAUCACUAUAUAUAUGCAUUUGUGCACGCGCGCACGUGUGUGCGUGCGCGUACAGUAAAACCAAUAACGAUUGACUAACGGCUUAAGCGGUAAGAUGUAAAAUUUAUAUAAACUUCAUGUGUGUAUAAUUAGCAUUUUUUGUCUCAUAAAAAUAAUCUAAUUAAACAUGAAAAAUUAGACAGUGCACACCAAAUAAUGAAACAUAUUUUCUUUAAAAUAAUAUAAUAGUAAAUAUAUAUUAAAAUAUUUACUCAAAAAUAAUAAUUCAAAUUAUUUUGUUGAAAUAAAAAUUUUACCGCUGAAUAGUUGAUAUUUUAUAAGAGUAUCGGCUCCCCUCUCUCUCCAGUCUAUGGUCAACUGCAUGCACAUAACGAAAAGAACUCCCUCAACUCGAAGUAGAGUAUAGCCGCUGAUAAAAAAAAACAAAUAAAAACAUUAGUAAAUAAAAUGUUGUUUUAACUUAUAUUAUAUAUAUUUUAUGGGUACGUAGAAAUAUUUAAACUUGUAUAGAUGGGUCCACUUUAUGACCCCAUCCAUACCAAGAGUUGAGGUCAACUUUGAUCAGUUUGAACAUAAUAUUAUUAAAAUUAGAUUAAAUUUUUGAUACCGUAAUGUUAUCCAAAAAGAGUAAAAUUCAAAUCGACCCGCUUUAGCUCAUUUUCACUUUACUCAUAUUUCACUUUACUCCUAUAUGUUUUAAUUUUUUUUUUCGCUAUAUUUUUUUUCCCCAAAUAGGGUGUUAAAUUGAAAAUCUAUAAAAGAAUCAUAGGAUGGCAAAAUAAAAAAAAUAUGCUAAACCACACGGAAGCAAAGUAAAAUUUUUGGAACCACAGGGUGAAAUGAAAAUGAGCUAAAUGAGGUAAACCACAAGGAAGCAAUUUGAAAUUUAUCCAUUAAAAUGUGAUGAACCAUUUAACACGGAGAAGGAAAAGACUACUUGUACAUUAUUUUAGGCAAUGUCAAUCUUAGGACAUCUAGAGUUUAGAUUAAUUACAUGAAUUUUUAAAUUAAAAAAAAGAGCGAUAAGAUCAUUAUAAAAAGUGGCUAGAAGUAAUUAUUGAAGUGGAAGAUGCAGGCAGAUGAAUUGUGCUAUGAAGAAAGAUUAUAUUUAUUUUUUCGAAAAGAACUCACACGUUGAUAAUAUUUUGAAAAAUCAAUUCGAUUAAACAAAAAAACAUAUAGGAAUACAAUAGCAGCUGAACUAGGCUGGAAUACUAUCAAUAGCACUAAGCUAUUGGUGCUAUUAGUUUUUUAGUCCUUGGAUUGAUAAAUGUGUGGUUAGGAUGAUGUAGGCCCCUGAGGGUUGAGUGAGUGGUUUGUUAAAUAGUAUGAUCUAACAGGUAAAUCUAACGGUAGAAAACUCGAUAGCACCAAAUCCUUGCUGCUAUCGAUAAUAUCCCAGCCGGACUCUAUAUAUAUAAAGAGAGAAGAUAGAGAAAGAGCUCUAUUUCUUAUGAGUGUAGAGCUCUUUGUACUCAUAAAUUUUUGGCCAUUGGAUGAAGGGAUGUGCAGUUAGGAUGACAAUGGUCCCAGUUAGGAUUAUAGUGGUCCUUAGAGUUAAGUGAAUGGUUGAUUAAAUAGUAUGAUCUAAUGAAUGAAAAUGGUGAAAGGUAUAGAUCUAACCAUCAAAAAUUUAUGAGUACAAAAAGGUCUAUACUCACAAGAAUAUAUGCUUCAUGCUUCUCUUAUGAACAAACAAUUAACAGAUAUUUAUUGAAUAAUAAUACGUAAAAUUAAUAUUGAGUAAAAUCGAAUGAGAUUGUGAAGAAAGCAAAUGUUAUUUAAAAUAGACCCUAUUAUAACAUAAUUUUCAUUAAUUACUUUCUUAUCAUGUAUGUUGCAACAAUAAUCUAUACUAAUCUAUGAAUCCCCAAUAUCUUGCUGACAUGGCGUUACCUCCUUCUUUCAAAACUGCUCUAUUUCAUCUCCCAACCUCCAAAACCCCUCAUCUUCAAAACCGUUUCCUCCUUAUCUUCCAAUAAAACCACAAUUGAAUGCAUAUAAUUGCAUCAAAACUAUUCCCUCUCAUCUCCCAACCUCCAAAAUCCCUCAUCUUCCAAAACCGUUCCCUCCUCAGCUCCUAAUAAAACCACAAUUGAAUGCAUGUACUUCAACAAAAUUUUGUAGGAUUAUUGAUCUUCCAUCCGUUGAAUUGAGAGCGCAAUAGAAUAGAAAGUUCGAUUCCUUAUAGCUCUACUUCUAGCAGUAGUUUCUUUUUUCGUUUUUUACAUUUAAUUUGUUGUUCGCUUGGAUUUUAGGAAAGCAUUUUUGGGUGUUUUUUUUUUAAUUUUUGGCACAUUUUAUGUUUUUUUUUUUAAAUCGUUCUAACUUCUUGAAAAGUUUCCUUUUGUUUCAGAGAGAUGAUCUUUUUUGUCUGAAUGUUUUGAAUAUUUUCCCAAUAUUAUUAUGGGGAUUUUCUCCUGAGAAGCUUAUUCAAGGGCUUUUUAUUGUUGGUUUUAUUGUUGGUUUCUAUAUUCCCCUCUUAAAUACAAGCCGACACUAAUGUGACACUGAUAAUAUUGGAUUAUUAUCAUAGUGUAUUAUACAAUAAUUAAAAUAUCGUGUCGAUGUCCGGCUAUAUAUAUAUAUAUAAUAUAUAUAUAUAUAUAUAUAUAUAGUAUAUAUAUAUAUAUACUAUAUAUAGAAUUAUAAUAUAUAAUGCUCGGGGUUACUUCAUUAUUGAUUUUUAAAAAAUUGAUUUGCGUCAAAAAAAGAAUCGGACGGAUGAAUCUGCUUAUUUGAUUUGUUAAAUGUCAAUUAAAAUCUUUUCAGUGUGCUAUUUAAUAUUUAUUAUUUUUCACUUGCAAUAUUUCAAAUAUUUUUUUUAUAAUAUCUAUGUAAUAAUUUUUCUUCUCAUAUAAUUCUUACUUUUUAUUUUCGGUUUCUUUUAUUAUUUUUUGUUGAGUUGUGAUUCCAUUUUAAAUAUUUUUUAAUGUGUUUUUUAUAUUAUUAAGUCUAAUCAAAUAUGGUUAUAUUUUUUUUUCUUCUUUACAUUCAUAUUUAUUUAUUUAAUUUGUAAAUUUUUAUUAAAAUAUUUUUUUUCGCUGCAUCGCGCGGGUCACUACACUAGUAUACUAUUUAUGAGAAAAGGUGACCUUCACUCAUAAUAAAGAAAAAUCUAAAUAAAGUAAGGCUAAAAAGAAGAAAAGAGGAGGCACGCAAAAAACUCAUAUACCUCUUUAUACUUGUUUAUUUAUAGCAGCACUACUUUUCUUCGAUAAACUACAAAUGUAAAUUUAAUAUUGAGUACUGAAAUCGAAUGAGAUUGUGAAGAAAGCAAAUGUUAUUUAAAAUAGAUCCUAAUAUAAUAUAUUUUCUACUAAUUAUUACUUUCUUAUCAUGUAUUUUGCAACAAUAAUAUACCAUUUAUCAAGGCGACCUUCAUUUAUAAUAAAAAUUUUAAAUAAAACAUGACUAAAAAGAAGAAAAGAAGACACACACAAAAAACUCAUAUACCAUUUUGUAUUUUUCAAAAUAGAGAAACUAAUUACGAGAUUAUGGCACCCAGAAAAUUAAGGAGGUGAAAAUGUACUACUACUACUACCUGUGCUAGAAUGAGGGUGGCCGCGCGCCGCCCUCCUGCAGCUCUUGAAAACGUGCGUAAUAGACUAGACGGCCUCAUCUUUCCGGGAAGGAGGGAGAGGGUGGCUGGGAGUGCAACGGAAGACUGAGCUGCUGCUGCUGCGGACGGUGGGAGUUCUCUUUUUUCUUCGUGGAGUUUUGAGUAACUAUCCCAGUGGGGAGGUGGGGUGUGAAAGAAAAGAGCAGGCUAAUAAAUAGGGGAAAGAUUAAAUAAAAUAUUAUUUUAUGUGAGCUUGGAGAAAAGUGGAGCACAGCUUUAAAACAAAAGACUCCCGCAACAAGACAAUUCACUGCUCUCUCCACAGGGAUUGAGCAGGAAGUAAUAAUUAGAUGCACCCGGUGCACUGGCAGCAGAUGCACCAUACACCCUUAUAUAUAUAUUCUAUAUAUAUAUAGAGAGAGAGUUGAGCUAGAAUACUCUCAAAAGCACCAAGGGGUUGGUAUUUUUAAGUUUUUAGCCCUUAGAUGGAGAGAUGUAGGGUUGAGAUGAUGGUGGUAGGUGGUGGUAAGUAGAAUAGUAUUUAAUCCAAAGGUUAUUAGUAAUCAAAGAGUAAAUCCAAAGACUAAAAACAAAAGAGCACAAAAGGGUUGGUGCUUUUGAGAAUAUUCUAGCUCAAUUAAAUAUAUAUAUAUAUAUAUAUAGAGAGAGAGAGAGAGAGAGAGAGAGAGAGAGAGUAGGUCUUGUGUGCUAUUAGGAGCACGAAGCCCUCCUUGUUCCUAAGCCGUUUUCGAUCAUGAAGCUUCCGAAUCAACGAUUGGCUGCGUUAGACUUAAUCUAACCUAUUUGAAAUAUCUAGAAAAUAAAUUUUGCGAUUUUUCGAUAUCAUUUACCUAGCGAUCGAAAUGGUUCAAAAUCAAAGGCUGAAAAUAAAAAUUUCAUAAAAAGUGGUGAUAUAUCACUAAAAUUUUCGAUCGGAGAUAUUAAUCUUGCUGUAAAUAGUAUAAAAAAUUUUCUAUCAAAAUUUUAUCUGAUUUGAAUACUUCUACACCGUUAAACAUGCAAAUGGUAUACAUCAACCAUUAAAAAUUUUGACGCUAUAUUAAAUCUAACGAAGCCGAUCGUCGAUUUGAAAACUCCAUCAUCAAAAACGGCUUAGGAGGACGGAGGGCUCCGUGCUCCUGAUAGCAUACAAGACCUACUCUAUAUAUAUAUAUAUAUAUAUAUAUAUAUAUAUAUAUAUAUAUAUAUAUAUAUAUAUAUAUAUUCAAUCUUUUAAUUAAAGGGUUUAGAUUACAGGGGUAGAGUUUAGAUUAUAAGGUUUAGGUAUUAGGUUUUUUUAGCCCUUAUUUGGUUGGGGGUUAAGGGGUGGAAUAACCCCUUAACCCCCAUUUUAUCCCCAAACAUCCCAAAAAAUAGGUGGGGUUAGCUAACCCCACCUAACUCCACCUUAAAUAAAUUAUCCCGGGUUAGCUAAUCCCACCUAACCCCACCAAACUUCAACCAAAUACUAUUUUCUAUUCAUAAUAAUCCACUAUCUUUCUUAUCACACCUACUCCAACCAAUCAUUAUCCUUCUUUAUCAAUCAUUAUCUUCUUAUCCCACCUACCCAACCAAACACUAUUUUUCAUUAUUCUAGACUAACUCCAACCCGCAACCAAACAUAAAAAAACUUUAACCCCACUUUAACCCUGAACUUAACUCUAUGUAUGGAAUAGCUACUUUUUCCUUAACUCUGAACCAAACGGAGGCUUAGGGUUUAGAAUAUAGGGUUUUUGAGUUUUAACUUUAAAAAUAUUAUAUAUUAUAUUUAUACAAUCAAAUAAAACUCUAAGCUCUAAAUACCUAAACCUUAAUCUGUAUCCUAAACCCCAGAAUGUAAAUUCUAUAUCUUAAAAAAUUAUAACAAAAGUUACUUGCAUCAGGUGCACCCAAUGUGCUCACAGCAAGGGGGGAACUGCGCCAAAGGACUUUUGGCCCUUUAAAGCUGCUUUUUUUUUUGCCCUUUUCUUUUAUCAGAUUUUAUACAUCCCAAAGCUCAAAAUUAUAUUAAAUUUAAUAAUUUAUUAGUAUUUAACUGUUAAUUACUCUAGGUUUAUUUACAUCAAAUUAAUUAAUUAAAAUUAUCAAAUUAGAUAAAAUUGCAAAUGAAUUUAAUAAAAUUUUAUUUUUUUCCGGACUACAAUUACUUAUUUCUAUUAAAAUAAAAACAACACAAAAGGUAGUCGGUCCUCUAUGGUAGUGGAAAAGACAAACUGUUUUUCUUAAAAGUGAUUACAAAAUAAACUGCUAUUUGCUUCCUUGCUCUUCCUUAUGAAUCAAAGGAUUUUAUUUUAAAUAUAAUUGCCUAUAUACCCUUCAUACGUUGAAAAAUAUCCGAUUUAUCUUUCUUCUUUUUUUUUUAACUACUCCUUAUAUGUUUCACCGUUAUUGCAAAAUAUCCCGGCAGUUAUCUCCUAUUAAGUUAACUUGGGUUAAACGUGAGUUAAAUAUCUACCGCAGCUAAAAAAUAUAAAAUACCAAUUUUGCACUUAACUUAAGGACAAAUAAGAAAUGUUGGUGACGGUAAAGGGUAUAUUUGAAAAGACCAAAAGUCAAAAUACUUUUUGUGCCUCUGAAUUUAAGGGCAAAUAAGAAAGUCGGUGAUUGUGGAAGGAUAUAUUUGAAAUGGCAAAAUAAUAAUUUUACAGAGAUAACAGAGUUCAUUAAUAGAUUUUAACUUUUUAGGGAUAUAUUAGAAAUAUGUUGGAACAUAGAAAGGAUAUUUUCAAUAUUAACCUUUUAAGAAAGGUAAAUCAAAAAGUCAGAAACUUUUCAGAGGUAUAUAAACAACUGCCCCUUUAUUUUACCACCUUAUAGUCUAAUAAUUAGUACACUUAUAUACUAUUAUUUUAUUUCUAUUCAAGCUUCAAAACACGUCAGUGAGUAGGAUAGUAAAACCAUACAUUUUAGAAAACAUAGUUAUAAAUAUAAAUUACCCAUCAUUUCAAAUACAAGUGACAAAAAAUUUGAUACCGGUUAGUUUGGUUUAUAUUUCCAGCUUUAUUUAUUUUUAAAAACAAAUAAACGAAGUGAGUAAUGUACUACAUUUUUCUCAAAAAAUUAAUAAUUAUAAGUGCAAAUUAGAAAAUAAUAAAUUAAUAAAAUGAUAAAUUGAUGGACCACAAUUUUAAUUUUAUUAACUAAAUAAUAAUAUAUAGUUCAUGAACAUAAGAGAUCAUAAAUAUUAGUAACAAUAACCCGACUAAAACAUCUUGAGAAAAUUAUUAAUAAAUUUGAUUAGCUUUCAUUCUAUUUAACUUAAAUUACUUAGUUUAUAAUAUUAAAUUUAAAAUUUAAGAAGCUUCCUAUAAAAAAUAGUAAAAGUGAGAAAGCUAUUUAAAUAGACCUACCGGGAGGGUUUUCAUUUACUUUUAUUAGGGUCCGUUUAAUUCAGCGUAAAAUCAUAAAAGAUAAUUUUUCGUAAAAAAAUUUUUUUGUGAAAAAAUAAAAUUUUAUAUUUUCUAGUAUUUAGUUUGUAGGAUUCUUUUUCACUAACAUUUACUUGGUUAAAAGAAAAAAAACAUAUUUAUUUGUUUUUUGACACUGUACAAAAUCUUCAUUUAUCUUUGACAUUGCACAUCAAAUUGCGUUUUUUUUUUUUUUUUUUUUUUGAUUCAUUAAGAUGCAGUUUAGUUGGGGAGUGAUAGUGGAUUGUGAGAAGAAUACUCACAUUUAUCUAAUAUUUAGAAUUAGGCUGGAAUACUAUUAAUAGUAAAACGUUCUUUUUGCUAUCAAAUUUUUAAUCCUUGAAUGAAAAAUUAUAAGGUCAGAAUGAUAUUAGUCGGUUAGAGUUGAGUGAUCCCUCUAGGGUUGAGUGGUCUCCACCGGAUUAUAGUAUUUAAUCUAAUGGUUAGAAAUAAUGAAAAGAGUUGAUCCAAAGGCUAAAAAACUGAUAGUAAUAAUAGAAUUUUGCUACUAAUAAUAGCCCAGUCCAACUCCUAAUAUUUAUGUCAAAAAUCCCUGUUUUCUCUCUUAAAAUCUAACUUAUGUAUUUACAGUUCAUGCUGAGUUGUCAUUUCUGUAACAAAACUUGCUUUUGUUCGCUGAGGUCCUGUUUGGAUGUUGGGACAUGACAUAAGGUUCUAAUUAUGAUUUUCAAUAUGGCAUAUUUCACCUUUGAGGUGAUUUAUUUCCUUGGAUUUUGGGAUAUUCAACCUUCUUACACUUUUAGCCAGUUUUCUCUGUUCUUCUCGACAACAAACUAAUAAAUGGACCUUCAGUAACAAAGGGACAUUUGUCAGAUGCGGCCUAAAAACAGGUCUGAUAGUAGAGUACUAAAAAAAUAUCAGUUUUAAGCAACUGGUGCCAAUUUACCAAGAUGACAAUAGGUAGUUAAUUUACUUGAAAAUGUUGGCUUAAGCAUGGUUGUUUAGUAGAGGUUGUGUCUUGUAAUCAUCUGGUAUUUCUCGUCAAGGCCAUCUAUUAUCAUGACUGUUCCAUUACUAUUUUACCAUCUCUUUUGUCAAGUAUUUAGAAGUACAUAGGCAUAUCUAAAAUAGACAUAUCUAAAAUACACAUAUAUGUUCUGACUAUAAGAUUCAAUCAUACACAAAUUCACAUACACAUUUAUGUGAAAUUCACAUACAUGUGAGGUUUCGCCGAUUGAGUACAAUCGGGUGAAGGAGACCUUUAGAGCCUUAGAUUUUAAAAAUCAGUUGAUGAAGAAGUUCUAGAGUGCUAAUCAGAUGGAGUGGAAAUGAUUGGAGGAUUGCCACAUGGUCUGUUGUAGAAUCAGAGCUAGAUGUCCGCACAUUCUGAGGUGAGAAAAAUGGUGUGUAUAAUAGAGAAAACAUAAAACUGGCUUAUAUCGCAAAUACUGAUAAAUUUUCUCCUACAAAAAAGGAAAAAAGAAUUUUUUACUUUAUUCUCUAAUAUUCCCUAAUAUUUUUUUUGCAAUCAAGUUCUCACUUCUUCUUGAUUUUAUUGCAAUUAUGUCCCAACUGUUAAACCCUUAUGGUUUCACACUUUCUCGCUUUUGUACCAUGGGGUUUAAAAUGUAAUCAAUAUAGUACCCUAUGGUUUAAAGUGUAUUAAUUUAUCCCCUUAUUUUGGGGGUUGUAGGGCUCACAUGCAAUUUUUUUUACGAAUUAAUCUCAUAUUGGUCACAACCUUUUCACUAUUUUCUUAUUUUGGUUCUCAAUCUUUUUUUUUUUUAAUCAAAUUUUUGAAUCUCUUGAUUUAAUCACAAUAAAAUGACACCGUUAAAAAAGGUUUUAGAAUUAACGAUGUUAUCAUACCAUCGCCUAUAUAUCCUUUUUUUGCAUGUCAAUUAUAGCCUAUAAACUUUAUUUUUCACAGUAGUCCACCAAAAAAAAAUUCAAACUUUUAAAUUCAAAUCCGGAAUUAAUCUUAAAAUUAAUCUUAAAAUAAAGUCUUCCCUUAUUUUGGGGGGUUGUGCUUCUGAUAAUUACCUACUGAUUUCUUCAUUAAUUUAAAAUUUAGAAAUCAAAUACUUUAUUAGUUAUAUGUGUAACAAUAAAAGUUAAUGAGGUCACAAUAAAGACGUUGUCGCUAAGAAUACCAAAAAUAAUACUUUCACUCCACUUUUUUUUUUCUUUUCUUUUUUUUUUUUGUUGUAAAGUAUGAAAUAGAAAAAUAUUAUUUAUCUUUUUUAAUACUGUAAUAAACUUUUGUUUUAUUUUAAACUGAUUUAUUCAUUUUGCUUAUUAGGUUUAAAUAUUUUUAAAAAGAAAAAUACUUUAAUUUCAUUCUUUAAUUUAUUCUUUAAUUUUUAAUUAUUCAAUACUGAAAUAAAUAAUAUUUAAAAAUAGUAAUGCAUAAUAGAAAAAAAUUGAUAUUAAUAGUUAUAAUAAUUUACUAUUAUAUUGUCUUCCCGCCGCAAUAUUUUAAGUAUUUGAUUUAGAUAUUUUCAAAAAUAAUAUAUUUCAAUUUUAAUUUUUAAUUUUUAAUUGUUCAGUAUUGUUUGCUGCGUAGCGCGGGUUUCUUAACUAGUACUUAUUUUGUCAUAAAUUUUGAAAUUUCUUUUAUACAUAUUAUCUGUUUAUAGAAUAAGCUUGAUUAUGAAUACAUGUUAGAAAUGUGAAGCCCUACUCAAAUUGUAUAUUUUGCAUAUAAUAUAUUUAUAAUAUAAUUAAGCUUUAAACUAUACAUAAAUAAAUAUUUGUGUAAUGACUAAUGAGUACGACAAAGUACAGGAGUCUUUGUGCUUUACGAUUAAACAUUUGAUUCCAUAAUCGGCUCUGUUAAGCAUAAUUUACGCUAUUAGUACUAUCUAAAAAUUAAUUUUUAUAAUUUUUUGAUAUUAUUUAUUCAGUAAUUAAAAAAUCGUAAAAAUAAUUUUUAAUGACCAAUACGGGAGUCUUGUAAGUUCAAUAAUAUAAAUCAAUCCAAAUUAGGUGAAAUUUUGAUAUAAAAUUUAUAUAAUUUAAGUAAAUUUACCCCUAUUUUUUAUGAAAUUUUUAUUUUUUACUGUUUAUUUUGAGGUUAUUUUUUUUGUUGGGAAAAUAAAAAAAAAUUUAUGCCAUUAUAGUAUAUACAAAUUUAAAGACUCUUUAUUUUGAGGUUACUUUAUUAUAUUUCACACAUUUUUCCAACCAAACACAAUGAUCUCCCAGGAAACCAGGAAACUGCAAUCUCGGUUAAAAUGUGCGGAGGCCCCUUGUAUUAUACACUCUUUGAAAUUGGCCCCCCAAACUUUUAAUUUUUGGGUAAACUACAAAUACCACCCCUGUGGUUUAGCACUUUCUCACCUUAGUACCAUGUGGUUUAAAGUGUAUCAAGUUAGUGUCCUGUGGUUCCAUUUUUAUUUUUUUCGUUAGCUUUUCUGUUAGUAUUUCGUUAAAUUAUAUACAAAAAAACUUUAGAUAUCCCACCUAGAUUUAUUGAAUAUUCACUUUAGUAUCCUUUGAUUUUAACUUUGUCACUGAUUUAACGAAAAAAUUAGUAGAAUCAAUAAUAAAAAGAUAAAAAUAAAAUCACAUGGCACUAAAUUGAUACACUUUAAACUAUAGGGUACUAAAGUGAAAAAGUGUGAAACCACAGGGGUGGUAUUUGAAGUUUUUCCUAAUUUUUUUUAUCAACACUUUUUGUCCUAUCAACAUGUAUUAAUCACACCGCGAAAUUUCAUCGUCUUAACCGUAAAUUAUUAUAUGAGAGUCACGAGAAGCAAAAAAGUGAUUGAGAUUGGCAAUAACGAAACGGAUGAGCCGAUGCCUGCAACGGUGGUAGCAAUGAUAGAUACAAAUAAAAGUUGAGCUCCUUUUGUUACGUAGUUAUUGAUUGUGAAGAUAAAAAUAAAUUUUUAUAUUUUUUAAAAAAAUUAAAGAAAUAAAAGUUGAGGGAGCGAUUUCAAAUGCUGGGAUAGUAGAGAGGUCUCCCUAUAUUUUUAUAUAUUUUUGUUCUUAAUUUAAUUUUUUAAAAUAAGUUGGUUUGUUGGAUUUGAAAGGAGAGCUUAGAUUAUUUAUAUACCACCUACUAACACCUCAUUCUAUACUUUAUACUUUUAUAUGUAGGAUAUUAUUACGGAUACAAAUGGAUCCGGAUUUGUGGAGAUUUGCACCACUUCGUUCUGAACCGGACAACACAUAUUUUAAAAAAAUUGUUCGGAAUCUAUUUGAAUCUGCUAAGAAAUAGAGCGGAAGGCAGGGAUACAUUUAUUUCUCUGAUCUGUCUCGAUCCGCUCUAAAAGAAAAAGAAUAAAAUUUAAUCGGUCGUGAAUCUGUCUUUUACUGGUUCUGUCUCGUUUGCAUCCCUAAAUAUAAGUAAUAGGUGCCACAUCAGCUUGUAAUGAGCCUAGUGAUUGGGCCAACACAUUCAUCACUUAGCUCACCAACCAUCUACUAUUAUUGUGAACUAAAUUUAAAAAAAAAAGUACUUACAGAGAAAAACUUUUUCACUCCUCUUUUAUUUUUGGUGAAACAAGCAUAUGCAGAAUCACAUAAGCAAAUUGAAAUUUAUCCUUUAAAUUUUUAUUAGCUAAACUACAAAAAAUUUACCUAUAUAUACCCUUUUUUUUCACUUUUGUAUCAUAAAUUUCAAAAAAUUAUAUUUUUUCUUUUUAAAAUUAAAAAAAUAUUUUUGGAGGAUUACGACGUUAAUAAAGAGCAAAAUAAACCAAAUUACCUUUACUUAUUAUAUAAAAAAUAAUUUUGAAUAUAUUUUUAAAUUUUAAGGAUAUUUUUGGUGUCGUAGAAAUCCGCCACGCGGAUUCUCGUCGGACGGAAAAGCGUCAACUCACACUCUUCGCGCGUAAAACGUGUAUUUUAAGAUAGAGGCAAUUGCUUAUAUGCCCCUGAAAAAUUUUCGACUUUUCGAUUUAUUCCUCUUAGAAGGCUAAUAUUGAAAAUACCUUUUCUACGUUCCAACUAGGGAUGUCAAUGGGUAUGGAUAUUCGAAAUUUUAUCUGAACCCGAACCCGAAUGAAACAGAUAUAUUCGAUGGCUAUGGAUAUGGAUUUGGAUAUGGAUAUAAAAAAUAGAAACCCGACGGAUAUGGAUUUGGAUAUGGAUUUUGAUUGUACCCUAUCUGAAUCCGAACCCGACCUGAACCCGAACCGAACCUGAAUUUAUUUUGUAUUAUAUAUAAUAUAUAUAUAAAAAUUUGAUGUUAUAUUUGAAUUUAUAUUUUAAAAAUUUAGAUUUAAUAUAAUAUUCGGGUUCAAAUUUUCGGGUUCGGGUUCAGGUUCGGGUUUCAGAUUUUUGGUAGGGUUCGGGUUUGGAUAUGGAUUUUUAAAAUCCGUCAGGUUCGGGUUCGGGUUUUUAAAAAUCUGCCCCGAAUCCGACCCGUUGGCAUCUCUAGUUCCAACCUAUUUCUAAUAUAUCCCUAGAGUUAAAAUAUGUUAAUUAACUCUAUUAUCUCUGUAAAAUUACUAUUUUGCUUUUUCAAAUAUAUCCUUUCAUCAUCACUGACUUUCUUAUUUGACCUCAAAGUCAGGGGCACAAAAACUAUUUUGACUUUUCAUCUUUUUCAAUAUAUCCCUCUACCGUCACCAAUAUUUCUUAUUUGCCCUUAAGUUAAGGGUAAAAUUGACAUUUUAAUUUUUUUAAACUGUGGUAGAUAUUUAACUCACGUUUAGCCCAAGUUAACUUAACAGGAGAUAACUGCGGGGGUAUUUUGUAAUAACGGUGAAACAUAUGAGAGGUAUUUUAGAAAGAACAAAAAAAAAGAGAUAAAUUAGAUAUUUUCAAAAGUAUGAGGGGUAUAUAGGCAAUUACCCUUUAAAAGGGCAGUAAAAUGAAUGGAUAGCUCCUACACAAUCCCAAUAUUGCAACUUGCUACCUAUAUAGUUUACUUAACAUUUUAGUCCCCAAAUUUUGAUACACAUCUACUUAAAUUGCUAAUAAGUUGUUGGGUAACCUUCAAUUUGCCUCCUGUAAUUUAGUACUUUGUUAUUUUACCACAUUAUAGUUCAAAUAUUAUACUUAUCAAUUCUAUAAUUUUAUUUUUAUUUUAUUGAAAAAAAAUCUAACGUUAAUUAGAACAGUCUAAUAAACUUUUACAAAAAUCAAUCGGAUGAUAAUAUCCAAGAGAUACAUUAGUUAUAUCAUUAUUUAAAGAUAAUACGGUAGCUGAAUUAGGUAUAUUUUUACGAAACAAUCUAAUUAAACAAAAAGUUCAGUCGCUUACUUGAAAUAAUUUGAAAUUCCUAAUCUUUUGGGCAUAUAGAUUGUAUCAAUUCUAAUUUUACCGCCAUCAAUGUCGUUUUCUGUUCUUAAAACUAUUUCAUUCUCGCACAUAUUGUUUAUAGUCUCUUUUGAAGAGAACGCGUUACUAGACUUUUUUAAAAAUUUAAAAUGUCAAUGCGAAGAUUGAUUAAGAAUUAUUGGAUCAUGACUGCGAUCUAUAUGAGUAAGCAAUACUUUAUUGGAGCUAACGUGACCUAUUUUAUUAUAAUUAAUAAAAAUUUAAAUUAUUAAAAUCUAAAUAAAAUAAAAUAUAAUGGUUAAAAAUUUGGCAAAAAAAAGAGGAAUAAUCGCAGAUGACUCCCUGCAAAGGUGAAGAAUAAUUGACAAAAAAAAAAAGGAUAAUUGACAAACAAAAAAGAUUAAGAACUAAAGUGAGAAAUUGGUAACAUGUAGGGGCCAAAGUGCAAUUUAUCCAAAAUUAAAAAAAAAACCGUCUCUUUCGCUCUUCUUUCGCGCGCCUUCCCCUUCUCUCUUCUUCUUCUUCUUCUUCUUCCUCACUCCCCCUCUCUUCUCUCGUCCUCCCUUGUUAACAAUAAUAAUAAUAAUAAUAAUAAUAAUAAUAAUACCCGUUAUUUUCCCCUCCCGUUUCGGUUUCGCUUCUUCUUCUUCUUCGCCCCCUUCCGAAACCCGUUACGUUUCGGUUGCGGUGUAACUCGCUCCGUUCCGAGAACGGAAACAUACGGCGCAAAAGAGCUCCUAGGGUUAGGGUUAGGGUUUGGGUUUGGGUUUUAUCUUCGUCUCUGAUGCCGGAGAUCGCCGGAGAUGAUGGCGCUUGACGUCGUCGUCGUCUGCGGCGGCGGAGGAGGAGGACGAGGAGGAGGAGGAGGAGGAGGAGGAGGGGGAUGGGGUGCGGGAGCUCGCGGGCGGAGGAGUCGGCGGCGGUGGUGCUGUGCCGCGACCGCGCGCGGCUGAUCCGCGCGGCGCGCGACCGCCGCUACGCCCUCGCCGCGGCCCACGCCGCCUACUUCCGCUCCCUCUCCGCCAUGGGCGACGCCCUCAGCCGCUUCGUCGCCGAGGAGCUCACCGAGGUCGCCUCCUCGUCGUCUGCCCCGACCCUCACCCUCCCCCCCUCCCAGGGCAAGGCCAAAUCCAUGUCCAAAUCCAAAUCCAAGCCCUCCUCCGCCUCCUCCAAUGGCGGCGGCGGCCUCAGCAUCUCGUCAUCGGUGACGCCGCUCUCGCACGCCCUCUCGAUAACGGAGGGAUCGCGAUCGCACAUCUCCUCCUCCUCCUUGGUUUCGAGCCCUAGGAAAGCUCGGAAAGAGAUGCCUUCGCCUUUGCAUUCACCUUCCCCUUCUCCUCCUCCUCCUCGUCGAUCGCCGAUUCCAAACCCUAAAGACCACGAAAUGUCGUACAACGAGCUGAAUCCGCCCUUUACUGGGUAUCUCUAUGGUUAUAAUUAUCCCUAUGAUCUCCCUUUUGGAUCGGAGAGAGAAAACCCAAAUUACUACAACAAGCCUUCCUCUCCGCCACAGCCAGCGGCACCAGCGCCAGCAUCGGCACCUCCAUCUACUCCGCCACCGCCGGCUCUAGAGGUUUCAGCAUGGGAUUUCUUCGAUCCGUUCACUUCGUAUGAUCAAUUCGUUGCGGAUUACGCACAGGGGAGGUACGGAUUCAGUUCUUACAGUUCUAGCCCUAAUUCGAGUGUGGUGAGGGAGAAAGAAGGGAUUCCCGAUUUAGAAACGGAGAUGGAGGUGGAGAAGGAGAAGAGAGUUGUCGAUGCGAGGGUUUCGGUGGAAUCCACACAAGAGAAGGAUAGUAAAGUUGAUAUGGAGGAGAGAGAUAGUAAGAGUAGUUUAACAUCUAUCGAAGAUAGAAGCAGCGGAGAGGAAGAAGGAUCGAAUGAGAAGAAGAAAGGAGUGACCUUCGGAGAGGAUAAAUCUUUGGACUUUGAGAGCGGGGAAAGUAACGAGAAGUCGAUCUCCACCUUUUCGAGUAGUGGAGUAGUGUUAUCGGUUCACGGGACGAGAGGUAUCAUGGAGGCUGUGAGGGAAAUCACGGAGCAGUUUGAAUUCGCUUCUGAUUGUGGCGAGGAGGUUUCGAGGAUGCUUGAGGUCGGGAAGGCGCAGUACCGAAUGAGAAGUAGAAUUCUUACAUGUGGGUAUUGCAUUUUUGUUUUCCUUUUCUUGUUUUUCCUGUUUUAUAUUAGCUUUGAAGCAUCUUGAUUUAGUUGUUGCUGGUAAAUGCUGAUUAUAAAUAAGAUGGAGGGGAAUGAGGUUUUGUCUUUUCAGCUUGCUGUAGGAUGAGCUCAGGAGAAUUGCGGUGAAGGGCGAGGAGGUGCUGUUUUAGUAAAGAUUUCUUCUAUGAUUUAUUAUUUUGUUAUGUGGAAUAUUUCUAUAGAAUUAUGAACUCAAUUUCCAAACUCAUAGCAUAAUCUAGCCUUUUAUCCAUCUUGAGCAAUUAUUCCAAAUUUUAGAUAAGUACAAUAAUAGAUUUUUUUAUUAUUUAUUUUUUUUUUUUUUGUGAAUGUUCAAUUGAUCUUUUAUCAACGAAAGACUCGUGUUUGAAAUCUAGUUUGACUUACUAUAGAGUAGAAUGGUCCUUGUAUUUUCUUAAUUGUUGGACACCUCUUCCUCAUUAUACAUUCAACUUUUUCGCCAAGGGAGUGUUUGGUUCCUCUGAAAAGUGUGGAAAACUAUUUUCCAAAAAAAAAAAAUUUCAUGCAAACCACUCUUUCUCACAAUUUUAGUUUCCCGAAUAAAAAAUUCGUAAAACGAAAACACUACUUUUCCAUAAAACCUGGAAUUUUUUUUUUUUCCAGGCAAACUAUUUUUCCUAGAAAUCAAACGGACGAAAAAUACUAUUCUAGCGAAAAAAUUAUUUUCUGCGAUUUUUCCCGGAAAACCAAACACCCCCUCAAUGUUUUCUCACACAUCCAAAAUUAGUAGUUUUCGCAUUGUUUUUUUUUUUCUCCCCCUUUUUGUUAUCUCUGUCUGCAAUUAGUGGUCAAAUACUAAAGCGGUAAAGUAUAAUUUCUUUUGGAGAAUCUACUAUAUCAAAUAGAGUACUUUAGAAUCAGUGAAUUUUGUAAAUCUUGGUGCAGUUAUCUUUUCCAGGAUUUUGGAUCCCAUGGCUCUGACCAUAUUGAGUUUUCCACGCCUUUCUUUCAAGCAAUUCGGACCAUCAAGUGCAUCAAGUAGCACUACUAGCAAUUAUGAGCCAGAAAAGUACACUGGUAUGAAGUCCGGCAACCUCUCAUCAACGUUGGAGAAAUUAUAUUUAUGGGAGAAGAAACUGUGUAAGGAAGUUAAGGUAUACAGAAAUAUUCUUUUUUGAUUGUGUAGGUAACUAAUCGAAGCAAUUCUGUUACCUUGCAUGUUUAUUGGUAAUUCCAAUGAGUGAAGAUGCUGUUUUUGAACUCUAAACUUUUGAGUUGAUAAAAACAAUAUUUUGUAAAAGACUAUGCUUUAGUUUGUCGCUUUACUGAUAAUUUAAUAUGUUAUAGCUUUUAAUGUAAAACACAUUGUUCUUUAGUAACUACCGCUUACCGACUCACACCUUUAUUUUGUAAUAUAUAAAAUUUUGAAGCUAUAAGCAUGGAUUGCAAUAACUAUUGAACAUAAUGACUCAGAUAUUGACCUUGAUAAUGCAAAUUCACUUCAGCAGAUUAUAAUUUGUAGUGAAAAGGAAGGAAAAACUUUCCCCCUGUUUGACGUGGUCGGAGUUUUUGCGAAAGUGCUGUUUUAGUGAAACUGUUUGAAGAUGCUCUAGCUGCUUUUUCAGUAGUUUUUCCUCAACAGAUUUUUUUUUGUUGUAGUAGAAGUAAAAACUUUAAAUUAGAGAUUCUACAUUAAAAUUCAGAAAGUUUAUUUCAAUUUUCUGUGCUAGCAAAAUGUUGGUUUCUAGAAGUUUUUGCUCUCUGGAAUAGAGCCAAUCCAAACAGGCACUUUGUGAAGAACAUGCACUAUUCGAUUUGUAGUCAUUGGUCAACCUAUUUGUUAAGAUUUGCUUAGAUUGUUGUUCUAGGAUGAAGAAAAGCUUCGGCUCAUCUAUGAGAAAAAGUACACGCAGCUAAUGUCUUUGGACAAAGGAGGAGCAGAGUUUUAUGAGAUUGAUUACACACGCGCAAUGAUGCAAAAGUUGUGCACAAAGAUAGGUGUUAUCGUUAAAUCAAUUGAUGCCAUUUCAGCUAGGAUGCAGCAGAUAAGAGAUGAAGAACUGCAACCCCAACUUGCAGAACUAAUCCAAGGGUAUGAAUUUUCUUAACACCUUGAUUAAAAAUUCCAUAUUUAUCUAUCUAUUUGUUAGCUUGUAUAUAUUGAUAUCUCAUAUUAGUAACCUAUUUCCUUUUAUUCAAACAACGUUAAAGAGACCAUUUCAAUCAAGUCAAAGGUCUUAAAGUUGACUUUUAGUGUGAAAUUCUUUGAAGUAAACGGAAACAGAUUAGUAAUUUUACAAUAGAUCGGAUAAUGGUCAUAUUGUUAGAUGAGUUAGAUUAUUUUGUCGGUCAUGACUAAGUGCAAUUUAGGUGAACAUUCAGCGACUAAAGUGUUUGAGUGUAAAGUAUAGGGACUAAGUGUUGGGACUUAAGUCCUUCAAAGCUUGGAAUUUGCGUGAUGUUCCUUUAAAUAAUUCUUUGGUACCACAUUUUCUUAAUUGUCUUAGUCCGCAUUCUUGAGUGCAGUUCGAUAAGAAUGUGGGUGUACGUUUUGGACUGCCAUCAAAAACAGUUACAAGCGUUAAUCGACAGCAAAAGCCAUCACCUCAAGGCAAAAGCUGGAGGCGAAAGAAGUUCUGUUGCUAGGGCUACCAUGGAACUGGAGCUUCAGCUCAGGAACUGGUGUCACUGUUUCAUAAAUUGGUUCGAGACCCAGAAAUCUUACAUCGAAGUCCUCAAUAAAUGGUUAAUAAAAUGGCUCCCCAAAGUGCAGGAAGAAGAAACACCAGAUGGGGUCCCGCCGUUUUCCCCGAGCAAAUUUGGGGCUCCUCCAGUGUUUAUCAUCUGCAACGAUUGGUCGCAAGCAAUAGAAAGGAUCUCAGAGAACAACGUGGUUAACACAAUGAACGUUUUUAGUUCAUUUAUGCAUCAGCUUAGGGUUAGUCAAGAAGAGGAAUACCGUCGAAAGCUAAAGGUAGACUAUCUCUCCAUGGUUUAUGACAAAAGGCUAAAAUCUUUCCAGAAGGAAACUCAGUUUAAGGAGAAUUUGAAUGUUGUUUCUGUUUCUGAAAAUGGUACCGAAUAUCUUGAUGAUCAUACGAUGGUUUUAGACUCGGUGAGGAAAAGAAGGGAUGAGGAGAUAGAAAAACAUGAGGAGGCAAUACAAAGAGUUCAUCAUGCCGCUUCAAGCUCUUUGCGAAGUGGGUUAGUUCCUAUAUUUGAAGCAUUGGAGAAUUUCUUUAUGGAGAACUUGAAGGCGUAUGAGGGAAUUAGAAUCGCAAAUGAAAGUGGAGAUUCAUAGUACACACCAUGAUGACAGCUUUGGCCGAAUUGAAUUAGGUUACUGAUUCUGCAAAGACUCAUUAUGGGCGCCAAAGAUAUUUGAAAUCAUUGAUUAGCUUUAGGGUUUAUUUAUCGAUUGGUUUGGCGAGAGCUUUUGUAGAAGUGUUGUUCAAAUAAUAGAGUUGUUCGAAGAAGCCUCAAUAACUUUUUUUGUUAAAAUCUCUUGAACAACUUCACACCGCAGCAAGCAGUACAAACUUAAGUUGAAGCUUGUGCGCCAUUCCCGACUCCAGACUUUUUACCGGCCAAACAUUGACGCUAAAUGAAUUUGUCUCAGAAACUGACAAAAGGGGCUUGUAAAUGCUUUUCCGGUGGAGGUUCUCACUUUUUCUUCUUUUAUUAUCGGAGGAGCAGAGUGCCUUUAGAUUUUUUUUUUAUUACUUGAAAGUAUCAAAGUGGUUGCAUUUGCAGAAUGUAAUCUCACAGUGGCCUUUAAUCAAGGCUGAGCCAUUUAGAUACAUAUUUUGCUCUUUUCGUUAGCAGAUGCAGUUUGUUUAUAUUUGCCUCCUGCAUUCAUUGAAAUUCAGAUAUUAUAAACAAAUACCAAAAAAAGGGAUUAAAUUUUAGUUUAUUUGCUAUUCUCUCAUGCAUACAAUUGGAGGAAUCUUGUUUAAACAAUAUACUUGAAAAAUCAUUAAUAUGUUGUUUAUAUUUUGUUCAUUUUUUGAGUUCUAUGUUUGAAAUUUGGUUGAUUCAAUCUGCUAUUCAACUGCGAAGUUUCAACUUGGUAAUUUUUUUUUAAUUUUUGAUGUUUAAUUUCAUUCUGUUUUCAUUUUUGUGAUAGUCUUAUAAAGAGACUCUUGCAGGUUAUUUUUGCAGAUCUGUACUUGCACAUUUCAUUGCUAUUUUUAGAAUUUUCAUUGUUCUAUCAUGUUUAAUUGAACCAUUCAUUACUUCAUUUUGAAAUUUUGAGUUGUUGCAAAAAUAUUGCUUGUUUCCUUGCUUUUUUCCUAAUCCAAGAUUUUGAUUGACCAAAUCAUAGAUUUGGUAGAUCCAGGGUUGCUUUCAUUUUUGAAAAUGUUAUAAAACAAGCAACAAGUUGUUCCUUUGUGUUAAUACCUAGAUGAGGCCAUUUUUGAAAGGCUAAAAUGCGUUUUACCCCCUUCAAUAUGUUCUUAUUGCACUAACUGUUUGUUAAAAAAAAUAUGCACUUAAUCUCUCUGGAAAUUUAUGUUGUUAGUAUUUAAUCUCUAUUAGAUAAAAAAAGUAUACACUUCAUCCAAGGAGAAAAAGAAAAGUAAACAAUAAAGGCAUAUUUGGUCAUUUUACUAAUUUUUUUUAACACUAUAAUCUGAUAGGAUAUUUUUGAUUUUUUGAGAGGGGGUUAAGUGCAUAUUUGAUAAGAUAUUUUUGAUUUUUUGAGAGGGGGGUUAAGUGUUUUUGAGAGGGGGGUUAAGUGCACAUAUGAUAAGAUAUUUUUGAUUUCUUGAGAUAGGGUUCAGUGCAUAUUUUUUAUAUCUAGAGAGUAAAAUACAACAUGCGAUAUAUUGAGGGGAAUUUGCAUUCACGCACACUAUCUCCAAUCACAACCUGUUUCCAUCUAAUGUGGCACUAUUGGAGCUAUUCCAAAACACACAUAAUUUUCAAUAAUCACAAUCUCUUUUCCAUCGGGAUCAUUUUCAAUCAAAAUUUCAUUUCUUUCUUAUGUGAUUUACUUUCAAUCACAAUUAUAUUUCCAUCUGAUGUAGGACUAUUAGAGUUAUUCCUAAUUACAACCCUAUUUUUAUCUUAUGUGGAAUUAUUAGGGACUUGUAGACUCUUCCUCUUUAAGCCCACUCCCAAUUUAAGGCUCUUGGGGUGGACGAUGUAAAGUCCUUGAGGUUGUUCUUAAUUACAACUCUAUUUUCAUCCGAGACUCGCAACCCCGAUGUGAGACUAUUGGGCCAACGCAAAGCCCUUGGAGUUAUUCCCAAUUACAAUCAUAUUUCCAUUCGAUGUAGGACUCAACCUCAUUUCUAUCCGAUAUAGGAUAUCAGGCCGAUGUAAGACCUUCGGGGUUAUUCCAAUUACAAUCUUAUUUAUAUCCAAUGUGGGACUAUUGAGUCGAUGUGAGACUAACGGGGUUAUUCCCCCAUAGUCUCCAAUGCAAAAUUUUAAGUUUGAAUACAUAUAUGCCAUGCCCUGUUCUUUUUCCUUUUUUUUAGCCCAAUCUUAUUCCCAAUAGUUCCAGCUUUGUGGGCUGUGGCCCAUAGUGUCCCAUUAGCAACCCUAGUUUUUCAUAUGUUCCAAUUGUAGGUUUAAAUUGUAUUAAGUUAGAGGCAAGGAUUAAAGUGGUCAUCGACACGGACCAUAUCCACCAUAUAGUAUUGUACCAGCAAAAUAUCGGCACGAUAUAGUCUUUAUGCCGACGGCACAACUCGAAACUCUAUAUUUUUGAAAUUAGUAAGUAAUUUUCUUAAUAAAGUUUAAGAGAUUUGAUAAAAAUACAUAAUAAAUAAUUGGCAUAUUUUAUUGCUAAAGAAAAUAAAUAUUUUUGUGACCGACACGUAUCGGCACGGCCUGGCAGGCACCUUGCCGUACCAUGCCGGCAGAUUUUUGGCAUGAUCCUAUACCACGACAUUUAAAUUCUUGGUUAGGGGAAUAUUUGGUUCACAAGGAAAUCAUGAAAAGCUGUUUUUUUCAAAAAAAAAAAGAAGUGAAAAGCUUUUUUUUUUUUUUCAUAGUUUUAAUUUUCUAAAAAAAAAAUCCAGAAAACAAAAAGGAGACUUUUUCAUGAAAUGUGGAAAGAACUUUCUCAAAAAAUUUAGUUUUUCUAGGAACCAAAUAGACAGAAAAUAUACUUCUAGUCAGAAAAGUAAUUUUCAGAUUUUUUUUUUUAGAAACCAAACUCUCAUGUUUUGUAUGCUUUUAUCUAAUUAUAUACAUGACUACAUUUGGAGCUAUAUUAGAUGAAUUUAGGGCGGGGUGGAUCAAUUUUUUCUCCGUCUCCCACCCUAAAUCCGUAUCGGAUCAUAAAAGUAGUCUCCUGAAUCUGAUAAUUCUAUAUUCCCAAAUUCAUUUGCAUCUAUUAUUAAAUUUAUUAAAAAUAUUUUUUGUGAACCAAACUCAGUAACUUCUUAUUCUCAAAUAUCUAAAUUGUGCGAACUAAAUGGAAAAACAGAAACAACCAAUAUCUGGUUCAAAUACGUGAGCAUCUUAUUCGACAUAUCUAUUCUAUUUACUCAAAAAACAUGUAGUAUCUGGUAGAUGAAUAAGGAGAUCAGAUGUCUAGAAUUGAUAUCAUAUUUGGUCUUUAAAUUAUUAUUUUUAGAAUAAAAUAAAUCAUUUCGUAGGUAAAAUAUAUUAUACUACCAAAGUCGGAAUUAGAAAAUCUUUUAAGGAAACUCUGGCAUCGAAUAUAUUAUCAUUAAAUGUUAUAUUCUGACCUUCAAAUAGAGCCCAAAGAAUCCCAUAUUCUUUGCUACCCAAAUUUUAGAGAAUCGAAUUCUCAAAAUUUCAAAUAAUUUUGCAAAGUGCAAACCAUGUAUAAACAUACAAAACUUAUCUGAACUAUAAACCAUUUUGAAUCAGCUAUUCAAAAUUUCAAAAUAUUGAUUUUACUACUCAACGUUUCAAUUUAUUUGAUUUGAGUCAGUGAACAGUAUUUUUGACUAUAAAAUUUAAGUUAAUUACUUAAUUUAGUAAAUUUAUAGCUCUGAAAAUUAUAUGUAAUAUGCUAUAUAAAUCCGUAAAGAGUUACGACGCAUUCAUAUUUUAAAGUCAAAAUAUCAUUAACUCAUUCAAAUCAAAUAAAUUAAAAAAUUAGAUAGUAAAAUUAAAGUUUUAAAAAAUUAAAUAGCCAACUUAAACUAAUUCAUAGUUCGGAUAAGUUUUAUACGUUUUUACCAAAGUUAAAAAUAAACACUAGUUAAAUUUUGCACACAAUUAUUAUUUUAGCAACAACAUGUGAUAUGUCGAAUGCCACGUGUCGCCAGCUGUGCGGUGCCAGCUGUAACUGUUUAUCACAAUUUUAAAUAGAUUCAAAAAAUUAAAAAAUUAAUAAAUUAAGAUGUAAAAUUUUAUUAAAAUGAGUUGCCAUAUCAUAUUGUUCCACAUCUCAACAUAUAUCUAAUGUAAUUUGCAACUCAAAAAAUAUAUAAAAAAAAUGUAGAUAAAGAAAAUCUCCUAAUUUACUAAUUAGUUUUUUUAAUUACGAGUGAAAUGAUAAAUCUAUAAUAAAAUAAGAAAGAUUUUUCUUAAUCACCAGAAAUGUCUCUACUAAUAUGUUCUUGUAAACUUUUUGAUUUUUAAACCAAUUUAAGAUAGUAAUGAAAAUAGCAAACCUAUUAAUACAAUUUAUGUAAGGAUGUUAUUAAUUAAGGACAAAGCUAAAAUACAGGUUUAAAAAUCAAAAAGUUUACAAGAACAUAUUAGUGUCACGCCGAAACCUAUUAAUACAAUUUAUGUAAGGAUGUUAUUAAUUAAGGACAAAGCUAAAAUACAGGUUUUUUUUUUUUUUUUUGAAUUUAGCAUAAAAUAUACCUAUGAUUUAACUUUUUCUUUUGCCAUCCUGUGGUUCAAAAAAUUAUAAUUUUUUGAAUGAUUAAUGCGAUUUCGGCGUGAGGGUAAAUUGAAGUUUAUCCUAAAAUAUACAGGAAAAUUAAGAAGAAGGAUUGUGUUAACGCCGUGUGUUUAGGUUGUAUUAAUUUUGUACAAUCUGCUUAAGUAUGCAAAUGGGACAGCCUCCAGCUCCAUUUCUUGUCGGCUUGAGGUGGAUUCGGGACGGAUUAAUUUUAAUUUUAGUUUUUUGCCUUUAUUUACCCUUCUAUUCGGGCCGAUCAGGACAGAGACGAGUAUUUAGCGGAUUAGAAUGGAUCGAAGAAAGAAAAUGGUUUCUCAUCUUCCGCUCCAUUUACUUGACGGAUUAAGACUGAUCUGAAAUGGAUUAUAUUUUUAUGUAUAUAUAUUUUUCAUGAGUCCGGCUACUAUACUUUUAUGAGUACGAUGCUUUCGUACUCAUAAGUCAUUUUCGAUGAUAAAGUUUUCGAAUCGAUGAUCUAUACUGUUAAACAUUUUUAGAGCAUUUAAAACUUUUAGAAAUCAAGUUUUAUAAAUUUUUGACAUCAUUUAUUUACCUUAUGAAAAAGAAAUCUCAAAAUUGAUAAUUUUUAACUGUCGAUAUGAGAUACUUACUAGUUUAACGGUGUAAAAGAAUCAAAAUCGAUUGAAUUUUUGAUAGAAAAUUCUAUUUACUAGCCAUAUAAAGAUCAAUAACUCCGAUAUUAAAUUAAAGGAUCUAAUCAUCCAUUUUUAAGAUGUUGUUCGAUUUUGAUCGUUCAUUUUAUGUCCGCUUGAUAGAUUUUAUUAUGAUUUCAAAAAAAAUACGAAAUUUUUUUAUAGAAGUUUUAAAUAUUUUAGAUUAUAUUUAACGAAAUGGAUCGUCGAUUCGAAAGUUCCAUCAUUGAAAAUAAUUUAUAAGUAUAAAAGACUCUAUACUGAUAAGAGCAUAAUAGUUCUACUAUAUUUUUUAUUUACCAUUUUAUUUGAAACGGAUCGGAUCAGAAACUCCACGAACCCGGAUCCAUUUGCAUGCCCAAGAUCCUCACGCCGUUUUCGGAACCGAAUCACGCGGAAAAGCAUAUUCCACGUGGCGUGUGCUACUCUCACCCCCUCCUUUCUCUCGUGCACGCCACCUCAAUCCCUCUCCGCAUCCGAACUCCAACUAACCAACCCUUUAUGCGGACGCACCAUCCACCCUUCGUUACGACAAAUCCAACAAAGAAGAUAAAUAAAUUACAUUUUGGUCCUCAAACUGUAAAGAUGUUACACAAUUGCCCUCAACCUUUAAGCAAAAUUUCUUUAGAUUGCUACAAUUAAAUACCAGCCUAAUUUAGUGGACUAAUUACUAAUUUGUUAUUUACGUACUAAUAAUAUAGUAGCAUUAUGGUUCAAGAAACUGAUUAUUACUGUAUCAGAGACACGCCAGUAUAUAGAUUGAAUAAAAUUAAUUAUCGGACUUAAUUGCAAUAAUUUUAAAAGUUUAAUGACUACAGUUGCACGUUUCAUAGUUUGAGGACCAAGAGUGUAAUUUAGCAAAAAAAAAAAAGGAAAAAAAAAAGAGUAAUGCUACAUUUUUUAGUCUCUUGAUUAUUGAAGCCCUAACAUAAAUUUCUCUAAAUUUUUUGUUCGCUAACUAAAUUCUUGUCCGUAAUUUUAUUGUUCAUGAAAAUUAAAAUAAUUAUUGAAUUUAAUCUCAAAUAUUAUCCAAACAUUUCAUUCCACUUUUUUAAGCAGCUGAUAAUUAUUUUAUUUUUAAUUUAUUAUUAGGAACCUAAGGAUAACAAUUAAUUAGCAGCGGUAAAAAAGUUAAAAAUAUAAAAGAGAAUAUUUAAAUAUUACUUCCAGGUCAUAUAAUGUAUGGAAUUGAAUAAAGCGAAAACAUCACAAAAAGUUAGAUCUAUUUCAUAUGUUAAACAUUGAUAAAGGAGGCAGAUGAUAAAUACCAUAUAUUCAGGGGGUUUGCUGCAAUUUAGAUCCAACGUCCGCAUGGAGCACACUAUGCGGACCGCAAAACCACCGGGGUCCGUUAUUUAGAAUCCCGCGUCGGCGCUAAUCCAACUUAAUUAAGGGUUUAAUUAACUUAAUUAACGUGAUUAAGUUAGGACAGGUUAGCAUCGUUAAUUAAACCUCCUCGAUAUCCUCACUCCACCUUUUCCCAACCCUUCGCGCCCUUCUCUCCCCUCCUUCUUCUUCUUCUUCUUCUUCUUCGUCUUCGUCUUCGUGCCUCGCUAGAUCUCCGCAAAAACUCAACGAAACCGAUCCCUAGGGUUAGGGUUAGGGUUUCGUGGGAGCGGUGCGGAGGAGGAGGAGGAGGAGGAGGAGGAGGAGACGAAGCUCGUGGCGGCGGCGCCCAUGGCGGCGUGAGACGGAGAGGGGAUCGGAGCGAGCGGAAAUGGCGGACACGGCGGCGCCGCAGAGGAGCGAAGGAGGGGGAUGGGCGGUGGCGGCGUACAGGGCGUUGUCGGCGGAUAACGUGAAGGGGCUCGUGCUCGCGCUCUCCUCCAGCGUCUUCAUCGGCGCGAGCUUCAUCGUGAAGAAGAAGGGUUUGCAAAAGGCCGGGUCGUCGGGGUCUAGGGCAGGUGAGGGAUCGGCGCAGCCGCUCUAAUUGCUCUCGUAAUUGAAUUUUAUUUGGGAUUUUGUGAUGAUUUUAGUAGUAUUUUGCGGUUCUUUUUUGCUGAGAUUUUUAUGAAAAGAUGCUUCGGGAUCUAGGGCGGGUGAGAGAUUGGUAAUAUAGAUUUAAUGGCUCUUCUAAUUGGAUUUUAGAUGGGAUUUUGUGACGAUUUUAGUAGUAUUUUGUGGUUUUUUUUUUUUUUUUGUUUUCCGAGAUUUAUAAACAGAUGCUUAUUAGGGAAUCAGGGUAGGUGAGAGAUUGGUACAUGGCUUUAAUGCCCCUUUUGGUUGGAUUUUAGAUGGGAUUUUUUGCUGAUUUUAGUAGUAUUUUUUCCCCUUUUUUUGCUGAGAUUGAUGAAAAGUAGCUACGUUUAUUGCAUUCUGAGCUAUUAAUUCGUGGUAAAAUUGGAUUCUGUUUCGAGUAGAUGGAUCAAAUUCAUAAGUAACUUGUGGUGCAUACAUUAGAUAUCUGUGCGCGAAUCUUGUUUAGUAAAGGAAAAAAAAAUAGAGAAAAGGUCUUCAAAUUGAUUUUAGAUGGGAUUUUAUGCUGAUUUUAGUAGUAUUUUUUCCCCUUUUUUUGCUGAGAUUGAUGAAAAGUAGCUACGUUUAUUGCAUUCUGAGCUAUUAAUUCGUGGUAAAAUUGGAUUCUGUUUCGAGUAGAUGGAUCGAAUUCAUAAGUAACUUGUGGUGAUUACAUUAGAUAUCUGUGCGCGAAUCUUGUUUAGUAAAGGGAAAAAAAAAUAGAGAAAAGGUCUUCAAAUUGAUUUUAGAUGGGAUUUUAUGCUGAUUUUAGUAGUAUUUUUUCCCCUUUUUUUGCUGAGAUUGAUGAAAAGUAGCUACGUUUAUUGCAUUCUGAGCUAUUAAUUCGUGGUAAAAUUGGAUUCUGUUUCGAGUAGAUGGAUCGAAUUCAUAAGUAACUUGUGGUGAUUACAUUAGAUAUCUGUGCGCGAAUCUUGUUUAGUAAAGGGAAAAAAAAAUAGAGAAAAGGUCUUCAAAUUGAUUUUAGAUGGGAUUUUAUGCUGAUUUUAGUAGUAUUUUUUCCCCUUUUUUUGCUGAGAUUGAUGAAAAGUAGCUACGUUUAUUGCAUUCUGAGCUAUUAAUUCGUGGUAAAAUUGGAUUCUGUUUCGAGUAGAUGGAUCAAAUUCAUAAGUAACUUGUGGUGAUUACAUUAGAUAUCUGUGCGCGAAUCUUGUUUGAUAAAGGGAAAAAAAAGAAAGAGAAAAGGGCUUCAAAUUGGUUUCUAAAAAGUUCUAAUAGGAGAAACACAAUUUUAUUCUCACUUUGGAUGAGUUAUACUUAUGUGUUCCAUCAGAUUAUGCAAUAGUAAAAGUAAAUAUUACUUUGGAUGUUACCAUUUGUAUGUUAGACUUGGCUCUUGGAAUGGCUUCUCAACUUGAGAAAGCCAAAGGUUGCAAAAACUAGGUGUUUGGCAAAAAAAAAGAGAAGAAAUUCUGGAAAUUUUUAUUGUCGCCGGAAGGUGAAGUAGACUUUUGGGCCAGAAAAGCACAAGCUCCAAAUUGUAACUUCUGCUUCUACUGCAAUUAGAAGCUGUUGUGAGAUUUUUGUGUAAGGAGUAAAGAUCUUCUUUGAAGAGCUUGACUCAUGUGAACAAAUGGGUGUUCAUUUCCCAGAAAAGGAAAAAUGCGUAGUAAUAAAAGGGAGAAUAAGAUAGCAAGUGUUAUUAGACUACCUUGGGUUGUUGGUUUAGUACCUCAUGUUCUAAUUGAUUUCUGGGUCGACAAAUGCGGUUAGGGUGUGUAAGUGAUCUGAUUCUGAUUUUCCGGCUUUUACUUCUGUAAUUGAUCUGAUUCUGGAUUUUUUGUACCGAAUGGGAAAUUUUAAAGAAAAAGAUAUAUAAAAAAAAUUUUCUAUGGGGUGCGAGAGGAAAACUGUACUAGUAGUAGCAGUUCUAACUUCUAUGCACAAUCUCUUCAAAUUCUGAAAUGAAAGGUGCUACUUAUCCACGACUGAACAUUCUCUCAUUAUUCAGUAAAAAAGGCAUUUGGAUCUAAAGUCUUUGCUGAAACAAAGAACACCGAGAAUUCCAUACAGUCCAUCUUCUUUGGCAGAUGAUUCACACAUCCUGAUUUUACAUUUAAUCAAAAUUCACUACUUUUUCUAGCACCUAACUUAGGAGUACCUGGGGAAGUAAGUAGUAGAAUAAAAGUGGCAGUGGCUCUAUGUGUCUUUCUUCUUCUUCUGGAAAACUUCCUUUUUUCUCAAUGCUCCUUACACUAAUAUUUUUCCUAUUGUUUAUCAAUGCCCUAUCUCAUCAACCUGUCCUAUUUUGGUUUUUCAACAGGGAUUGGAGGUUAUUCUUACUUAUACGAGCCUCUUUGGUGGGCAGGCAUGGUCACAAGUAAGUUUUUUUUUUCUUGUUGUUUGCCUAACUCUUCAUGGUUGCUUGCACAAGUUGUUUACUCUGUUGUAUUUUCAUUUGCCCAUUUAAGUAUGUUGGUUAAUUAGAAAUUUGGAUCUUGAAGUGUGGCUGCAACUUCAAUAUUGUUGAAAGCUAUGGUUUUCUCCUUCUCUUACUACUAAUGUAGCUAACCAAAUACGUCAGUGGGUUCUAAUUCUCGAGUGCAUUGUCACGCUUUUAUAGUUUUAUUAUAAGAUUGCGACCAUGAAUUGAGGCUUUUUGUUUUAUAUUUAUGUGGUUACUAACAAGCUGUUCUUAUCAACAGUGAUUGUCGGAGAAAUAGCUAAUUUUGCAGCUUAUGCCUUUGCUCCAGCUAUUCUAGUUACUCCUCUUGGGGCACUUAGCAUAAUCAUCAGGUAUAACCCAGCAUUGAAUUUCAAAUAGCAUAAGCAUCUUUUGAUACACUUUUACGUUUUUAAUUCUUUGAUAUCAAAAUUGCUGCAGUGCUGCACUUGCAUAUGUUAUUUUAAGGGAAAAGCUACACAUUUUUGGCAUGCUUGGUUGUGUUCUUUGUGUUGUGGGAUCGACCACGAUUGUUCUGCAUGCUCCACAAGAGCGUGAGAUCAGCUCUGUGACAGAAGUUUGGGAUCUUGCUACUGAACCAGGUAUUCUACUAAAAUCUAAUUAAUUAAUCAAUAACUCUUGAAGUUGUGACUUACUUGUGAUACAAUCACCUUUUUGGGGAGCUUGCCUUCACAAUAUCUCCCUGCAAAGUCAUCUGUUUACAUGAAUGCCCCUAUUAAGUCGGAAUUUUCUUGUAUACCUCUCAAAGUAUAGUUUCUUACAAAAGUACCCUUAAGUUUUUGGGGUCACCGAAGUCAUGGGGAAGUGGUUUUCCAUGAAAAAAUGUGUCUUAAGAAAGGACAUUUUUAUGCACAGGAGUAUGUGUGAGGAAAUUGUUUUCUGAGAGGACCAUAUGUAACGUCUGAUGUUGCAGGGGAUAUAUAAUGCACAUUUUGAGUUACACUCAUUAUUAGAUACUGAGGUUCACUCUUUAUUAGAUACUGAGGUUCACUCUUUAUUAGAUACUGAGUUUCACUCUUUAUUACACAUAAACUUGAUGCCAAUUUUGAGGUUCACUCUUUAUUAGAUACUGAACCUUAUGCUGUGUUUUUUCUGCAGCUUUUCUAGUCUAUACAGCAAUUGUACUGGCUGCAGUGUUUAUACUUAUAUUUCGCUUUGCACCUCACUAUGGGCAAACAUAUAUAAUGGUGUACAUUGGCAUCUGUUCUCUUAUUGGCUCUCUCACGGUAUGUACUUUGGCUACAGAAACAAGGUAGUUAAUUUGAUGCCGUUCUUGUUCGCUUAUGCUUGCAUUAACUCUUUACAGUUUUGGAUCUACAGGUAAUGAGUGUAAAAGCUCUUGGAAUGGCUUUGAAGUUGACCUUCUCAGGAGUCAACCAAUUAGUAUAUCCACAAACUUGGGCCUUCACCUUAAUUGUAGCGGCUUGUGUCAUUACCCAAAUCAACUAUUUAAAUAAGGUAAUUUGUUGCAAUUUUUCCUCUUAAGUUCAAGUUUAUUCAAAUAUUGGAUUUAAUAAUAACUUAAAAGCCUAUUUGGACCCUCAUUCCAUUAAAUAAACAACUUACUCUCAAAAUAUGAGACUUGUUAAGUGAUAUUUACAUAUAAGAGUAGUGUUUGAAAGAGCAAGUUUCAAAUGAAGCAAGCAAAUUAAUUAAAAGGUCUCAUGGACGACAGAUAAGAAGUCACAUUCCUUUGUGCAUGUCAAAAACCAUUGCAAGUUUCAAACAGCUAUACUACUUAGGAGCUAAUCUACCUUUUUAAGUUUCAAACAGCUAUAUUACUUGAGAGCUAAUGUACUAUUAGCAACUGUUUGUCUCAGUGUUUAAUAUAUGUUGGAAGUCCAAAGACAAUAUAACUUGGGCUAUUUUGCUUAGGAGCUAAUCUACUUUCUAGCAAUACUAUGUUGGACUCGACCCUGGAGUUAAUUACUAGUUUGUUGUGAAGGAAAAAAAAGGGUGGAUGUGAUGUUUUCUUUUAAUGAAUGUUUGGGGAACCUUGUUACAACCAAAAGGAUGAAACGACUGAAAUAUAAUUAUUAUUUCAAAGUUCAACCUGCCAUCAAGAUAAUGUUAUAUUCAUGCAGAUUAUUUUGGCCUGAUUCUUCUCAUUUAUAAAAGAACUGAUAGCUUAGUUAUUGCUGAGAAUUACACUUAAAACUUAAGAAGGUUCUUCAAAAUGCUCUCCAUUAUUGCUAGGCAAAAGUUUUUUUUAUGCCUUUCUCUAUGUGCAUUCAUACUUGGCUGCUUAGGGCCCAUAAGAUAUUUCUUUCUUGUAUUUUGCAGGCACUUGACACAUUCAAUACAGCAGUUGUAUCACCAAUAUACUAUGUGAUGUUUACAUCAUUAACCAUUUUAGCCAGCGUGAUCAUGUUCAAGGUAAUCUUCUGGUCUUUCUUUUUGACUUUUCACAUUUUAUGCUUUACAAUUUGAGAGCUUCUGAAUUUUUCUUCGUUUAAGCUACUCUUUUUCUUCUUCUUCUUCUUCUUUUUUUCUUUCCUUCUCUCCAUUUGUGAUAAAAUACUAUUUCUUAUUUGUCCCCAUAUUUGAUGUCAUUGAGAAAAUUAGAAAAGCCUAUAUAAGAGACAUUUUGUGGGCAAAAGUUUGAACUUGCUAGGCAUUUCUCUCCUCUCCUCAAUUUUUAGACACCCCAAUUGAUUCAUGUCAUUCAUUGAAUAGGAUGUAACAUUAUACAGAGGGUUGUGAUCUCAUAAGAAAUUUAGGUCAGAAAUAAUAUAUCUACUGCUUUCAAUUUCGUGGUCUAUAUUUCCUUUUUAAAGACUACAGGUCAAAAAAAAAUUCUGGUGCAAUAUGGAAGUGUCAGUAUUGCCUAGGGAGAUUAUAUUCCAACAAUGCAUUCGGUUUCUUCAGUUGGCCUUUCCCAUCGCAGCAGUGAUUAACUCAGAUUACUUGACACAUAUUAAGUAUAAAGUUGAAAGAAAGAUAAAUGUUUGUUUAUCCCUUGUAACCUUGUUUUGUAAUUCUGGAACAAGUCUUCGGUGAAUAUAACAAUACAAGUAACCUUGAACUUUUGACAAAUGACACCCUGGUCCAUUAUCUCUCACAUAAACAGAUUAUUCCCUGCACUUAAGAGUCCCCUGUGUGGUAUUGAGGGCUGCCUAACACUACAGGGUGAAAAGAAUUUGGGGCAAAAGCAUAAAGAGAGAUAUGUUUCUCCAUUUUUUUCAGUAGGAUCACAGACUUUAUAUCUUAACUGAUUCCUUGCAUUAUGCAUGACGUAAUAUUACUUACGGAAACAAAUGGAAAGAAAUUGUUAACCCUUCUCUGGACCCUUCACUCUUUUCUCUAUUUCCUUUCCCUGAUUUGUUGAUCACAUAAUCUGAUUGCUGUGUCAAAUUCAAAAUUUGCUAUUUCUCCCUUGUUCUGAAUAACCAAUUGACUGUGAGGACUUCAAGGAUUAUUGCAAGUGAUGGCUUUAUUAUUUGGGAGUAGCUUCUUAUUUCAUUUUCUUGUCAGAGCCAAAAUAGCCACUGGAUGUUUUUAUCAAGCAAUUUAUUUAGCAUAAGUAAAAUACGACAAACAUUAACAUAGCUAGCUGCGUUAUAGAUUUUAAUGGUUAACUAAAUGCCUUCCUAACCUGGUUCCUUGAACAACUUCUCUAGGUAUAUAAUAUUAUUUGAAAUUUAGCCGAAAUGCAUACUCUUAGUAUCUUAUACGUUAUCUAAUCACUAAUCCUGUGCUAUAAAAUACAGGACUGGGAUGGGCAAAACCCAACACAGAUCGUCACGGAGAUGUGUGGCUUUGUGACUAUUCUUUCUGGGACUUUUCUUCUUCACAAGACGAAGGAUAUGGUUGACGGUAUAUAUCAUUUCAUUUUUUGUAUUUAUUGUCAAACCACUCCUUUUUACCACUUGGUUUCCGUAAAGAACAUUAAAUAGCGUAAAUGCCUGUUUGCCCUAGUUUUUGGAGUAAGUUUUCUCCUGUGAUAAUUAGUAUUUAGGCAUUUGGCAGACAAAGCUUUCUACUGUGACAAUUAGUAUUUAGGCAUUUGGGCAGAAUGGGAGCUAACUGGAAGUAGGGGUGACUCAGUUUGGUUUGGUUCGGUGUUGAUUAUAUUUUUGUCAACCGACCAAAAUAUUUCAUUGAAAGAUUGAUAAAACCGACCUAAACCGUACUUCUUCUAUGUGAAAAUAUGAACCAAACCGAAUUUAGGUUUAACCAAUCAAUUUGCGCUUCUCCUUGUUGUAAGCUUUUUACAUUAGUUGUAAGAAUCCAUUCAUUUAAAAUGAAUGGAUAUGAUCUAUCAGUAUAUAAUUAGCUAUUCUAAAUGUACUUAUUACAUUAGAAUUUGGUCAUCACAUAAUGAUCCAUAAAAUAGGACUCAAUUUGUACUACUUGUAUAUGUAUAUGAUCAUUGGUCAAUUUUAAUUAGGUUCGGUUGAGAAAAUUUCUUUACCAAACAAAAACCAGAAACCUAAAUACAUGGAUAUUGAAAUAUGAAUGCAACCAAAAAUCAAAUAAAGCAAACCACAAUUGGGGUUAAGUUUCGGUUUGGUUUUUGGUUUGGAGUCACCCCUAUUGUUGAGGGCAUUAAUGGAACAGCUGUUAGUGUUUUUCGAGCAACUUUGCUAAACAUAUUAGAGUUUAUUUAUUUAAAGUGACUUAAAACUCCAUUUUUAGCCUUUGGACCUCUUGGGUGGCCAAAUAUCAAAUGGGUUUUACCUGGGAGCCUGUGCAUAUCUUGCUACAUGUGAAUUUAGUCGCACAUUGAAUACUCAAGACAUGUAGUAGUGCCUUUUAUACUCCAUCAUCUUCAAGCUAGUUGCUUGGGUGAUAAUAAGAGUGGUGCCAUCCACAAAUACACACACGAGCAUGAGCACGAAUACUCGGUUUGGUUCACCUACACUUGAACCUUACCUUUUAUUAUUAUUAUGUUUUUGGGUUGCUAGUACUUUUCAUUCAAAAAAAAGGGAUACAUUUUAAUUAAAAGAAUAGACAGAUUGUCUAACAAAACAGUACUUUUACGGAAGUUCUAGCAGAUCCAAACGAACUUCAAUUAGAGGAAUAGGACCAUUAUAUCGAAAAUUCCUGAUAGUUGACUCUGGAGUCUUUGUUGUUACGUACCGCCCCAUUUUAUGUUAACUCAAUUCACGAUUCCUUACUUUGCCCUAACAGGUCUUCCUCUCCCAGUUCGACUUGAAAAUCAUGCCGACGAGGAUGGAUUUCCUCCCGAGGGGAUUCCGCUUAGAAGUCACAAUUCAUCACACAUUCCAUGAGUUCUUGUGGUAGAAAAUUCCCUCCAAUGAAAUAGGAAAAACUGCUUUUGAGGCAAUCAGCUUGUUGACGAAGCUCUACGUAUUUAUCCUUUUCACAUCAAGUAAGGUUCAAAGGCUACUUUCGUCUCCAAUUUGAAGAAGCAGGCGCUUUUCCUUUUCCGAGACAUGACGAGUAUACAGCUUGAUCGUGCUACAUAAGCAGUUGCUGAAAUACUGUUUCCUACUAGCUUAGUCGAAAAGCUGCUUUUAGAGAAAGGCACAUAUCAAUCUAUUAUGCUGGUGGGGAUUUUGGUGGUGCAGUUGUAUAGUCCUUUUCCUUCUUCCCACACUUUUCCUGCUAGGUUAUUAUUGUAGUUAUGCCAUGUAUUUACAUCAAUUCUUUUUCAUGUACGUAUCACAUAGAACAGAAAUUUGCAUUGUUUUUGAGAAACUUGUAUACAUUUCUUAUCUAGCAGAACGAAGAUCGAUCAAAUUCACAAUUUUGCUCUAUCUUUUGCUCCAUUGAAAAAUUGUCGAGAAUCUGAAAGGUGAUCAUACAAGGUGUAUCAAUUCUCCUCUAGUUUUUACUGCUUUUUUAAUCCAUUGGUCACAGAACACAGAACGUAUGACGAAAUUCUCCGUAAAUUAUGUAUUUGUACCCAUUUAUGUAUCUUUGUAUGUGUAAUAUCUGUAUCCAAAUUUGAAUCUGUCUCUGACUAGUUGAAUAAUAUCGCAUUCAUUUUCAUCCCUAGAUUGGAACCUGAAAAGCCAAACCAACCUGUUUAAUUAGAAGUAAGUAUAAAAAAAGAUAAAAUUAUUAAAAAAAUACUUGUUUUCUGAUAUUUUCAAGUUUUAUUUCAAUCACUUCAGCAUGUGUGCAGCUUAUCGACAUUUCAACUUUUCUAAAACAAAGUUAAUUAAAAAAAAAUCUCACAAGGAGAGAGAAAAAUAAAAAAUAGGAAUUAAGGAGAUUAAGACAUAUCGAAAGUGCGAAAAGACCCAAAAAUUCAGAGUCAAUUUCUCACUACAAGUCAUAGGUCACCAAGAGAAACAAGAGAAUUUUCUUGCACAAUUCUCAUGAGCAUUGCUAUGGGCACCCCAAAGUGUCCCUCUUAGAGUCCCCAAUUUAUAUAUCAAGUUGUGAAAUAACUAAUUAGUCUAAAUGUGAGAAAACAGUAUAAUUUUUUAAGAUCAAUACUUUUGGAUAGGCCCAAAAUAAGCACUUUAAACAGUCUCCCUUUUUUAAGGCUUGAGAUUUCAAAAAAAAAAUAGAGAAUUAAACUCAAAGGUAGUCGAACUCUAAAUCUUCUACUCUGAUAUCAUGUGAAAUCAAUUAAUUACUCUCGAAACUUAAAUUGACAGAGAAUGGUGUCUCUAAUAUCGACAUUCAACACGGAUGUCUACAUAAGUUUAAUCUUUAUUAUCUAUGACAAUUAGUGUACCUUAGAAAGGUACACGACUUAAUUUUCAUAUUUUCAUCUCUCAAAGACUAAUAGUCCACACUGUAUUAGGUCGGUCAACUUGGCCAACACAGACUUUGAAACUCCUCUUGCCUAGGGCUGGCAAACGAGCGAGCCGGCUCGCGUUCGACUCGUGUUCGGCUAAGCUUGCUCGGCUCAUUAUGAGUUCGAGCCGAACUUUACUUAAAGCUCGGAAAAUAAAACAAGUUCGAGCCGAGUAAAUUAAAGCUCAGCUCGAACUCGCUCGACUUAUAGCNUAGAGCAUGAUAGUGUAGUGACUUAUAGCGGUUGAGUUAUUUCCUGCAUUUUUCCUACUAUCCUGGCUCCCUUCUGUAGACUUAGUGGGUGGAUCGAUGUUGUUUUGGGCGGCACCCACUGAGGACUACUUGUUUUUACAGUAGUUCUCACGCCCAGAUGUUACCCCUGUUUUGCAGAGCCACAGGUUUCGGGUACUGCGCCUUUCGCGGAUCAGGAUCGAGGCAAGGGCGUCGCGAGUUAGAGCCCUACCCGCUGAGCAGAGCUAGAGGCACCCUACUACAGGUAGUUGUUUUACUUCGAGCUUAUGUACAUAGUACUUAACUCGCCAGUGCGAGUGAUGCUGUAUUUUGGAUUCUGAACUAUGUAUAUGAAGCUCAGUUUGUUUAGUUUUUGUUUACUCGAGCAGCUCUAUACUACUGUUUGUAGUAUUGUUUGAUUUACAGGUACUGAUGUCGCUUCGUAUAUAAAAAAAAUUUCUUUGUAUAUGACGGAUUUGUCGGCGUGCCCGGGGAACGAGACAUCCGGGGCGUGACACCUUAGAAAGGUACACAAGUUAAUUUCCAUAGUUCCUACUCUCAAAGACUAAUAAUCCACACUGUAUUAGGUCGGUCAACUUGGUCAACACAGACUACGAAACUCCUCUUGUCUAUAACAAGUCUUUGCUUCUCUCACUCUCUCUAACCCAUUUCAAUUUAUUUUUAUUUUUAUAAAAAGAGAGAGAGGGAGAGAGGUUAUGAAAAUAUAGAUAGGAACUAAGAAGAAGAAAAGGUGGAUACUCCAUAAAAGAUAUAAUAGAAGGAAUGGAGAGGUAUGCACAUCUCUUUAUCUCCUUCUCCUUGCCGUUCUCCUUCUUAAAUUACUCCUUGUUUGUUGAUAAGUCUAUGGCCUCACCGUUCCAACUCAACCAUGACCAACUAAACAUCAUGGUAAAUCUCUCCAAGAGCCUCUCUCCUUAUUCUAUGAGUGAGUGGAACACCACUGACCCAAAUCCUUGCCUUUGGGAGAGGGUCACUUGCUCCGCCGGCCCCUCGACCGUCAUGACCCGCCUCUCCC
rnacentral:lncRNA from 1 species